GAGCUCGAGAUCGGCCCCAGGCCUCGAUGACAACCACCUGGGGUUGAAAAACAUAAUGCGGCUAUGCCAGCCGUGCUUAUUACAAACAUAAGAGUUACGGAAAAACAUAAUGUGACAACAUAACACAUUGCCACAAGUGCAGGUCUCCUCUGAAUUCAAGUUACCACAAACUGCAGAUCAAUCUCCAAGUCAUUCAAGAAAAGGUACAGGUCUCCUCUGAAUAUACAACUCUAAAUCUGAGAACAUAGCACAUAACAAGUAGACAGGCAGGCAUCAUGAUAAGCGCAAUGCUCCAGUCUCGCAAACAUAGCGUUGUGCAGAACAUGAUAAAGCAUAUGCAACCACCUACGACGCAAACUGCGAUCCUGAAGUAGUCACUCACUGCUUCCAGGUGCGCCCAAGAUCAAUCCGACCUCACCUGCCAGAACAGACACCAUAUUAGCACAAGCUAAUCAUAAGCGAUUUCUCAGAAAGAGGCGAGAGAGUGCUCUGUAUUACAGGAGAUGCAGAGCGGGAUAAGCUCCUGCUCCGAGGGCUUCUGCUCACGGAUUUUCCAGAAACCUGCAAAAGAGUUCCAUUAGCUUCUUCGAACAAGUGGCUCGAGUAAAGAUUCUGCCAACAGAUUGUCGAGAUUUACCGAAGAAACAGGAGACCGAGAUCUUGACAGUGACCUGCAAAAUGUUUCAGAAACCAAGUUCAUUACUCAGAAGUGUUGUGUAAUCCAAAAUUAACACCAAAACCAACCUGACAACCAUACCCAUCCUCUAUGGAAUAUAACAGGCUAAGUAGAUUAUACGAGAGCGAUAUCACAGUGCAUAUUUAUGCAUUUGGCUCUUUAUACCUAUCAUCAGAUGUGACUACUGAAUAUGAAACUGAACAUAGAAAGUAACCAAGACAUACAUCCGCAUUUGUCAUGCCAACCUCUUUGCAUGUACACUUGCCCCAUAAAACCAUUUGCCCUUCAUCCUUCUCUAUCCAGUUGUUAAUGCUAACCUCUUAGCUCCCGCAAAAAAAAAAUGCCAACCUCUUAGCAAACUUGCCCCAGAAAAUGAUUGACAAACAACAUUUCCCAUUCAUCUUCUCUACAGUAGAAUGCAAGAUUAACUAACUCAAAACUUAAAGUUUAAUGAAAACAAGGGCCUUUUAGUGAUUAUAUGAAAUUUAAGCCAAGAAUUAAUAUCAUUUAAAGAAUACCACAAGACCCACUCCACAUAUCCUUACUAUCAGGACCAUCUUGCUGCUAGGACUUGUUGCUCACUGGCCAUACAUGCUGAUAAUCCAGCUCUACUAUCCAUAGUUCCAAACCAUCAUGCUGAACUCAACGCAUCCAAUUUUCUAUGGAAGCAGUCCCCAGAUCGCCGCAUGGCCAGAUCUAGGAAAAACAAAAGAAAACCUUAAAUGCCGCAAGGUUAACUAGCCAGCUCUGCAUGUUUCGUCAUUCAUUGGAACAUAGAAAAACGAUGGAGUCCGAGCUAACAGUGAAAAGAGAUAGAUUCUCUACAAGAUUUAAACAAACUAGCUAUAUAAUCUUGAGGAGAAGCAGAGAUACCCUCUCUGUUCCCAAAUAUAAGUCGUUUUGGCAUUUCAAUUUAAACUGCCAAAACAUCUUAUAUUUAGAAACAGAGGUAGUACAUCAAAACAACCAUUCGAAGACCUAUUUCUGUUUUUGUAACCAAAGAAAUGACAUGCAUGCAAAAACGGAGUUCAAGUAAUUCGAUCCUUUCAGGUGUAUCACGUUGUAUAUCAAGAUCAAAUUUGUUCCUAUUUCUUCCAAAAGCGAAAUCACUGGUACUACUAACAGAAAAACUUGCAGCUAUUUAUAUAUACAGAAUGACAAACCUUUCAUCCACAGGUAAGGGUGAUCGAGAGACAGAUCUAAGGAACAAUGCACUCAAAUAUAAGUACUUGUCAUGAAACUUGGUGUAAAUACGAAUGAAAGAAAUUUAAGAUACCUGCUAUAGCUGCGACUUCUUAAGUAAGAGAGGCUACGGCUCCUGCUUCUUGAUCUAGCAUCAUACUGCCUCACCUAUAAUAAAAUAACAACAGAUUCAUGCUAGUGUAAAAUCAAAUGGACAUGCAGAUGCCAUCUUAACUACUGUUGAACUAUCAGUGAAAAAGAAGUAAACCCAUACCCUGAUAUAUGCCCUUGAAAAUGCAUUUCUGAACUCUGUAUCAUCGAGCUUCCUAAUCUGCAAAAUUGCAGUGAUAAGAGAGGUAUAUACCAACUAAAACAAGAACAAACCACACAUCCCCAAGGUGCCCUCUUAGCAGAUCCUCUCCAACAGCAAUCGAUGAUAGAGAAUAGUUUCACAAGAACUUUAUCACUAAAAAAAAGCGGAGUGUAGAGAUGAUAUGACAACCUACCGCAUAUUUCAUGUCAUCGUAGUUUGUAUAAUCCACAACUCCAACGGUUGCUGCAACACAAACAAAAUACAAUUGUCAUCAAUAGGGAAUGCAUCAUGCUAAACCGUGAUUCUGAUUUCCAAAGGACAGUGCAAUUACAAUUCAGGCAGCUGAGCCGAGCAAUUAGCUCCUCAAAUUUCUAGUGCGCACACUGCUAUAAUGUCGAUAUAAUUGGAAGCAUUGUCACUAACCUCCGCCCUCGCGGUAUACAUCAGAAAAACAGACAUCGCCAGCCCGGCGCAUAUGGUCCUGAAUAAGUAACUUAAGCAAUGUAAGUAAAUAAAGAAGAACAGACAUCGUCAACCAAACUCAAUGGACACCAAACUCAAAAUGUAUAAACAGAAGUUGUGCACAAUUCCUGUACCUUGAGAUCUUGCCAUGACGCUGACGAAGGUAAACCAUCAACCAUAACUGUGUGGCUCACAACAAGAAAAGAAAAAUGAGAAUUCCCAUCCGGACAUAUCAAUCAACUCAUUAACAAGACAGAAGUACAAACCUCGGAACUCAGAGCGCCUAGAAACACCUCCACGGCGUCCAUUGCUAAAGCUGCUUGGGCGAUCAUACGAGUAAGAUUGAGCUCUUCCACCAUGAGCUAAUUCCACCUGAGAGAUGAACUUCUCAAACAACAGGCACAAGAAAGCAGUCUUUGCUUUGAACCAAAAAAGGCAACACGCAGUACAUGCAUACCCGCAGCCUGCAGCCGUCAAAGUCAUACCCAUCACGGCCAUAAAUUGCAUCAUCAGCAUCACGGGGAUCCUCAAACUAAAGAAGAUCAUUCUUUGUUAGCAUCCAAUAAUUAGUUAUAUAAGAAAUGAAAACUUAGUUAAGAGAGUAAGUUUAAUGCCAAAAUAAGAACAAUGAGGCUUCUAUCAUGAAUUCUGAGUAUAAACCUCUACAUGACCAUGACAGAAUACUGACCUCAACAAAAGCGUAACCAGGAGGCCUUGGAGGAAUCUUCAAGUCAAUAUCGACAAUACAGCCAUACUGCAUAAUGAUACACAAAAUUAAGGCAUGAAUAAAUCUGUUUUAAUUCCUUACAAUGCGAUGUACAUGAGGUGCAACCUAUAUCAUACUAGUUUCCUUACUAUGUACAAGUUAAACUGAAAAAUGGUCAAGAACUUCAUCAGUUUGUGCUAUAGCCAAUUAUCUUUACAUAAUUGCCAAAGCCACAAGAAAAGCUAGUGCAAGAAUCAUUACACAAAAUUGAAUAUUUACCUUGUAAAAGAGAUCCUCAACCUCCCUCUCACGAAUGUCCCCAGGGAGAUUGCCUACAUAAAUGGUGCAGCUGUUGCGCCUGCCCAUUGUUUCUGCAGUUAAAUAAAAUAAAAUAAAGGUCAUACAGCCUAUACAUGAAUAUGUAGAUGUUCUUUUAUGCAAAACAUACUACUACUAGCUAGAAUGGUGCAGAUAAGCAUUAGAAGCACAAGCUGGUAUAGCAAUAGAAGAAAAUAAAAUUGCCGCCUAAGUAAUUGACAGGAAAGAAAGCAGGAAGACAAAUUUCAUACUCAUGUAUUUCCAGAAUAUUAUAUGUCUACCAGAUUUUGCCGAUUUAACUACAGAAUAGAUAAUACAACUAUCAGAAUCAGAGUGCGACCUCAGCUUCCGUCGUCUAUCUUCUCACUACAGGAAUUAGUGCUAGUAAAAACUUCAGAAUUGUUCAACAGACUCUGGACAGUUGGACAGAACACCUUGUUAAAACCUAAUCCAAAUCUCACAUGAGCAUGAUACCCAAAAGGCCAAAACCGAUCUCAAUGGUCACCAUUCGGAGGGAAAUUUGCCCAAUCUUGGAACGCCACUACGCACUACCAAGGUUUUCUCUGCUCGAGAAUAAGAUUUCACGGUAUCUGUAACGCUCCAUGGCGUAGAUGAAACGAACUCCAGAACAGAAACGCUGGAUACAAUCAGCCCCUCAUCGCGAUUCACAAAAGGUGCAAAUUUUAUCUGUGCCUGCGGCACAAAACAGAGGUGGAAGGAGGACGAACCGCGGAUUUCUAAUCGCGAAAAAAACUUGCCACCGCCUGUAGAACGACGGGAAAAGCUGCCGAGAGAUUCGGGCGGGGGCAAGCGCGGCGGAGACGGGAGAAACUGACGGAGAACUCAACUGGCAGGUGGCGAUCGAAGAAAUCAAUCAAUCAAGAUGGACAAAUGUUCCGAGGUUUUCGGCUGAAGUAGCUGCGGGGCAGAGAGGUAAGGCCGGCGGGUCGAGAAGCUUCGGGACUCCGCAGGCGACGCCGCGUGGAAAUGCCGCUACGCCAAAAGGUACGUAUUGGUUUUCUCAACAACAGAAAAGAGUAAAAUUCGUUCACGGUGACUUGUCCGGUGCGCGCAAUUUAGUCGGUGAUUUCACAAAGUGAUAAACACGGCUAGAUACCCGUAAAAAAACACGGCUAGAUUAGGUGUCUAUUUUUUACCACGUGGCACAGUUUGACUCGUGGUACACCACCACCUUAGUGAUUAGGGGCCACAGUGAUGCUUCGUGUUUUUUGGCUAGCGCUAUCUUGGCCUGCCCACAGCAACAGGCAAGAUCACCAGUGACACUUUCGUUUAUAUGGUUGAAAGAGCGCGCGCGCACAUGCAGGGAUGGUCGGAGCGCUACUAGCUUGUGCUGCGAGAGAAGCGCUCCUAAAAUCCGUAAUCCAAGCAAUUCCUACCUUCAGCAUGUCGUGUUUUCUCCUGAUCAAGAAAGUAUGUAAGACUCUGACAUCAGGUAUGGCAAAGUUCUUUUGAGCAGUUCCAUUGAUGGGCGGUCUAUGCAUUGGAUAUCAUGGGAUAAACUAGCUACACCGAAAUGCAAAGGUGGAAUGGGCUUUCGUGAUCUCCGCAUGUUCAACCUAGCUCUUUUGGGGAAGCACGGAUAGCGCUUUAUGACUAACCUCAACACUCUAUGCGCUCGGGUUUUGAAGGGCCGUUACUUCCCAGAUUGUGAGUUUCAGCUCGCCACAGUACCAAAAGCCGCAUCUGCUACUUGGCGAGCCAUCGUUGCCGGUCGAGAGGCCCUCGAUGCUGGCCUUAUCAAACGCGUGGGCACCGGUUCAACCAUAUCCAUAUGGGAGGACCGAUGGAUUCCUUCGACAGUAUCUAUGACUCCCAUGCUGAGACCUCAAAAUGCUUUUGUUCAGUUGGUUAGUGAGCUGAUCGACACUGACAACUAGACAUGGAAGACGGAGUUAGUACAUGAGCUGUUUAUCAGCCCCGAUGCACAAGCUAUUCUGAACAUACCUUUGUGCCGGGGGUGGUGAUGAUUUUAUGGCAUGGGCACAUGAAAAAUCUGGCAUCUACACAGUCAAAUCAGCGUACCGGUCUCUAGUGAACAAAAAAGAGCGUUUUGCUCUCGAAGAAGGGACUGGUAUCGGGUCUUCAACUGACAACGCAGAGCUAUGGCGUGCCUUAUGGAAACUCAAUGUGAUGCCUAAAGUUCGGGACUUCUACUGGCGAGUCUUGAGAGGCAUUAUUCCGGUGGAAUGUACCUUGAAGCAGCGCCAUAUUCAGGAGCUCGGAAGAUGCAAAAUCUGCAUGGCCAUGGAUGAGGAUUUAGCUCACGCACUCAUUCACUGUUCGCAUGCAAAGCAAUUCUGGGUGCAAGCUCAACAGUUACUUGAUUUCUCUCUACCGAAGCUACACCCAAGCACUUGGUCUCAUGACAUUUUAUGUGACCAACUUUUCUCAGAGAAGAAGCGAGCGAUCAUAGUCACAGUGAUGUGGGCGAUCUGGCACUCUCGGAAUCGUCUCACACAUGAUCAGGAGAAACUUGACCCGUCUACUUCUGUGAGACGCAUUAAAGAAGAUCUAGCGAUCUUGGAUAUACUUCGGCCAGACCUAAAAAUCUUGCCAGGUUAUGGGUGGCGGCCCCCUGAUGGAACGAUCAUCAAAAUAAACACCGACACAGCAAUUCAUCUGGAUGGCGGCAAUGGUGGAGCAGGGGGGGUGGCACGAUCAGUUGGUCGCCUCUUGGGAGCAUGGAGCAAACCCCUUGUGGGUGUCACGGACCCCCUUAUAGCUGAAGCCAUGUCUGUACGGGAAGGCGUGCGCUUUGCGAACCUCAGAGGAUUUCAGGAGGUGAUCAUCGAAACCGAUUGUCUGGAGGACGUGGAACUCUGGAAGAAUCGUCACAACUCCUUCGUGAUUGUGGCACCGUUGUUUUAUGAGAUAGGAGAGCUAGCUACUGCUUUUUCUUAUGUUGAUUUUCUUCAUGUAAUCCGGUCAGCAAACUACCCAGCUCAUCUCUGUGCCAAGCGUGCUUGCACACUGAGUAUGACUGAAAGUUGGCUGAAAGAGACCCCUAGCUUCCUGGUGAGUAGCCUGCUGGCUGACGAUCCAGCGAAUGCUUUUGUUUGAAUAAAGCUCUCACUAUUGCCUGCAAAAAAAGUGAUGCUUCGUGUUUAGUUUUAUAGUAGCGUGUCAUCUGGCUUGUUUUCUUUCUUUCCGGAAAAAAAGCGAUCUUGCGAGGAGAGGUUAGAUUUCUUGUGCCGAGAAGUGCAUGGAUGAAUCCGGAUAAACCCAUUUUAAAAAACACAUUUCUAAAUUUAAAAAAAUCUGAAAAAAAUUGCACGAGUGUUCUAUGUGCGUGCAUAAAGUUUCACGGAAAAAUAACUCUUUUAUGGCCUGUGCAAAAACGACAAAAAAUAUGCCGUGGGACACUAUUUAGAAGCACUGCAAUUUGCGUUUUUUGCUGAGGCAAAACAAAAAGACAUUUUUUCAUAAAAUUGUACCGCGUACACACAUUUCCGAACAUGUAUGGGUGUUGUUUUCUUUUGUUUUUUUUUGACAUUUCAAAACAUGCUUAAAAUGCAUUUUUUUGAAAAGUUGGUGCAUAUGCCCAUGGGUUUAGAUGGUGCCCUCUCUUCUUGUGCCGUCCUUUGGCGGCUCCCCUCCGCCGACAAUCUUACUCUUGUCAGUCAUGAGGGUCAUUGGAUCCCCGCGCACGGAUCGUGUAGCUAUUGAUUUUAGUGCCCUAGUAGCUCAGGUUUUUGGACUGUUCAAUGUUUUGCCUUUGGCAACGCCGAUAACGGCGUCGAAUAAAGGAGCUCCAGAUCGUCCUUGAUGAGGCUUUCUGCUCUAUGGCCGGUGAAGGAUUUGGGAAUUAGCUUGUUCAAACGGGGAUGGCGUGGGGGUGACGACAUUCUUGUGGUGGACCUGUGUCCUAGGGUUCCGUCGUUGCGUCAGUGUUUGCUCCAGCGCUGGCCACUGUUGGGAGGUAGUCCAGAAGCAGAUGCAAAUAGUUGUCUGCGUCGGCGGCAUCAAGAAUGUGGUUGAUCAUGUGCUGGGUUUUGUGGUUGAUGGCUGACGGGUAUAGUUUCCUCCUCCGACGCUUUCAGUUGAGUAGGGGUGCCAGAUCUGGAGAUUAAUGGCAUGUCCAGGGUGCUUCUCCGUCUACAUUCUUUCAACGUCAAUGGUUUCACCAUUAGUAAGCUACUUUGAUGGUCUGAAAAGUUGUAUCAACAAUGGAGCAGCGUCAAACUCGGAUGAAGAGGUGACCAUUCACAUUUUUCUUUGGUGAUUGUUGUGGUGGUGCCAGAGGCAAUCGACGGGUGUUGGAGUCAAGCUCAGGGAAUUCUUCGGUCUUGACUGUAAUUUUCUUUCUUGGUUGGUGCUCCUUUGUGCAAAGGCUAGCGUUCUGUUAUCUUUUCAUUUUUGUCAGGUCCAUGUCUACGUGGCUUUCAUCUUUUAUCUUUAUUAUAUGACUGAGAUGUUGAAAAUAUGUCCUAGAGACAAUAAUAAAAUGUUAUUAUGUUAUUUCAUGUUCAUAAUUAAGUUUAUGUUUCGGUGCUACAGUUAUAUUGGUUGUCGAAUAUGAGAUUCGGAAGAAAACCCGAUGCAUGUGUGGAAACAUGAACACCAAUAUGAUCCUUAGUCACGCCUCUAAGACUAGCUCAUGUAUUGAUGGUGUCUUCUUUUCCUGACAUGAGCAUUGUUAUUAGAUCAAGGAUGCUAUCAAUAACGAGAACACAUUGUUACCAAAACAAUGGUUUUGGAUAGACCCAAGUUAUUAUAUGCUGAGAGAUGUUACCAUUGUUUUCAUAUGACAUGUUAACGUUUUCUUAGUUCAUUGGAGCAUGAGAAUAUAGUAUGUCAACAUAACAUAUGGCUACUUUGGGGUUACCGAAUGUCACUCUGUAACUAGAUGUGAAUACAGGUGACUUGCGGAUAUACCGAAAACGUAUGUCUCGGGAUCAAUAGUUCAAGAUUGGGAUUUGCUCCUCUCACGAUAGAGAGAUAUUCUCUGGGCUCACUCAGUGUUACAGUAUCAUUAUCGUCUCGUCAGACACUUGUGAUGAUGAUCAUGGGAUACCGAAACACGAACAAGAUUAAAGAGAACAAAAAGGUAACGAGGAUAACAAGUAUAGUGAUCAAGGAGUUGAUCACAUGGACACCGAUAAUCUCACCUCGGGUUUUGUAAAUGUAUCGCAGAGCAAAGCUAAUGGUAGUUGUAAACAAAGGUUCGCUCAAGAACUUCGUGAAUAUGCGGGAGUUAAUAAGGGUGUCCAGAUCCCGCUGUUAACUAUUGACUAAAAAGUGUUCUAGGUCAUGUCCGUUUAUUUUCAAACUUGUAGGAUCACACGCUUAAUGGGUUUUAGUCCCGCUUAUUGGAAAAAUGAGAAAUGAGUUAAAAGAGUGCUGAUAGAGUAUUGGAUAGUUCUGAAAGUGUUUUGGAUGGUUCCAAAAGGGUUCCCGGAAUUCCGGAAGGGUAUAGUAUGUUCCAGUUAUAUGGAAAGUUUUCGAGAGUCUUAGAAUGGGUUCCGGAGUCAUCCAAAAAAUCUGGAAUUUUAUUGGUGGAAGAAAGUUGUGAAAGGACGUCAUGAGAUGACCACCCCUAGUGGCCCCCACAGGGCCCACAUGGGGCGCCACAUGCCUAUCGUAGGCCUAAGGCCAUUUUUUUGACUAUGUACUGCAAGUCUCUUUAUUAAAACAUAAUACAGAGAAUACAAGUAGUUACAACUACACAGGGAACAUAAGAAAGAUAACUUGCAGUGUUAAACUACCUACCACCUACGUAGUUAUGGUAAAGAGGAAAUCCAAGUAAGGAAAAUGUCCUUGUAUUUACAAUUAAUCCUAUGUGUGAGGAGAGUUAUGCCAUGCAUAAAGUCGUGCGUCCAGGUCUUGAACAAUGGUGUUUCAUUUAUGAACACCUUUGCAUUUUUUAUAAUCCAAAUGUUCGAAGCAACCAUGAACACAACCUCUGUAAAUAAAGGCCUUCCAAAGUCCCUUCUAGUGGUAGCAGCCAUCUGAUAUGUGGUCAUGGUUGGUAGGGACACCCAAUGAAUGCUAAGGUAAUUCCAUACCCUAUGGCUAAAAUUGCAGGUGAAGAAGACAUGCACAAUGUCCUCAUGAACAAGAGCUGGAAAGAGCACACAGGUGUCAUCUGUUGGAAAUAUGCCCUAGAGGCAAUAAUAAAAUGGUUAUUAUUAUAUUUCCUUGUUCAUGAUAAUUGUCUAUUGUUCAUGCUAUAAUUGUGUUAUCCGGAAAUCGUAAUACAUGCGUGAAUACAUAGACCACAACAUGUCCCUAGUGAGCCUCUAGUUGACUAGCUCGUUGAUCAAUAGAUGGUUACAGUUUCCUGACCAUGGACAUUGGAUGUCAUUGAUAACGGGAUCACAUCAUUAGGAGAAUGUUUUGAUGGACAAGACCCAAUCCUAAGCAUAGCGCAAGAUCGUGUAGUUCAUCUGCUAAAGCUUUUCUAAUGUCAAGUAUCUUUUCCUUAGACCAUGAGAUUGUGCAACUCCCGGAUACUGUAGGAAUACUUUGGGUGUGCCAAACAUCACAACGUAACUGGGUGACUAUAAAGGUGCACUACGGGUAUCUCCGAAAGUAUCCGUUGGGUUGGCACAAAUCGAGACUGGGAUUUGUCACUCCGUAUGACGGAGAGGUAUCUCUGGGCCCACUCGGUAAGACAUCAUCGUAAUGAGCUCAAUGUGACUAAGGGUUGGUCAUGGGAUGAUGUGUUACGGAACGAGUAAAGUGACUUGCCGGUAACGAGAUUGAACGAGGUAUUGGGAUACCGACGAUCGAAUCUCGGGCAAGUAACAUACCGAUUGACAAAGGGAAUUGUAUACGGGAUUGCUUGAAUCCUCGACAUCGUGGUUCAUCCGAUGAGAUCAUCGUGGAACAUGUGGGAGCCAACAUGGGUAUCCAGAUCCCGCUGUUGGUUAUUGGCCGGAGAGUUGUCUCGGUCAUGUCUGCAUGGUUCCCGAACCCGUAGGGUCUACACACUUAAGGUUCAAUGACGCUAGGGUUAUUAGGAAGACUUGUAUGUGAUUACCGAAUAUUGUUCGGAGUCUGAGAUUCGAUCGUCGGUAUCAUCAUACCUAGUUCAAUCUCGUUACCGGCAUGUCUCUUUACUCGUUUCGUAAUACAUCAUCCCAUAACUAACUCAUUAGUCACAUUGCUUGCAAGGCUUUUAGUGAUGUGUAUUACCGAGAGGGCCAGAGAUACCUCUCCGAUACUCGGAGUGACAAAUCCUAAUCUUGAUUUAUGCCAACCCAACAAACACCUUCGGAGACACCUGUAGAGCAUCUUUAUAAUCACCCAAUUACGUUGUGACAUUUGAUAGCACACAAGGUGUUCCUCCGGUAUUCGGGAGUUGCAUAAUCUAAUAGUUAGAGGAAUAUGUACAAGUCAUGAAGAAAGCAAUAGCAAUAAAACUUAAAGAUCAUUAUGCUAAGGUAACGGAUGGGUCUUGUCCAUCACAUAAUUCUCUAAUGAUGUGAUCCCGUUCAUCAAAUGACAACACAUGUCUAUGGUCAGGAAACUUAACCAUCUUUGAUUAACGAGCUAGUCAAGUAGAGGCAUACUAGGGACACUCUAUUUUGUCUAUGUAUUCACACAUGUACUAAGUUUCCGGUUAAUACAAUUCUAGCAUGAAUAAUAAACUUUUAUCAUGAUAUAAGGAAAUAUAAAUAAAAAAUUUAUUAUUGCCUCUAGGGCAUAUUUCCUUCAGUCUCCCACUUGCACUAGAGUCAAUAAUCUAGAUUACAUAGUAAUGAUUGUAACACCCACUACAAAAAAGACACAUCCGUGACAUUUUGGGCCGAAUGAAUUUUUUUUCUGUCAUACAUAUGACACUUUUAUGACGAUAAUUGUGACAAAACUCGGUAUCAUCAUAGAUGUGGUGGGCUCCUACUUCUAUGACAAAAAAUCAUGACAGAAAAUGGGCUUUUCGUCCUGGGCGGGCCGGAGACGCAGCUGCAUGACAUUCUUUGGGCCGUCCAUGAUGGAAAAAACCGUGGUAGAAGCGAGGGGGAGGAAAAUUUCGGGAAGUUCCCAGUUACGGUGGGAGGUCGGGGGCCGAGCGAUGCGCGUUUCUCUCGUACACGUACGCGCGUGUGUGCGAGGCGUUGGCUCUAACUGAACCCGAGCGAGGCGUUGGGCUCUAACUGAACCCAAGCGAUUGCACUGCAAGCUACGCGUUACUGAACCCGAGAGAUCGAUCGAUGGCUGUUAACUGAACCCAAUCGAGCGAUUCCUUCGCUACUGCUGCUAUCUGAAGCCGAUCGAUGGGAUGAACAGUGAGCGUUGCGGGGGAGGGGGGUUGGAUGAAUAGUGAGCGGUGGCAUUGCCUCUAGAUGAACAGGACCCCGUGGUGUGGUGGAGGGCUGGAUGAACAGUAGACAGUGGAGGGGUGUCCGUGGAGGGGUGGAUGAACAGGACCCCGUGGUGUGGAGGGCUGGAUGAACAGUAGACNNNNNNNNNNNNNNNNNNNNNNNNNNNNNNNNNNNNNNNNNNNNNNNNNNNNNNNNNNNNNNNNNNNNNNNNNNNNNNNNNNNNNNNNNNNNNNNNNNNNNNNNNNNNNNNNNNNNNNNNNNNNNNNNNNNNNNNNNNNNNNNNNNNNNNNNNNNNNNNNNNNNNNNNNNNNNNNNNNNNNNNNNNNNNNNNNNNNNNNNNNNNNNNNNNNNNNNNNNNNNNNNNNNNNNNNNNNNNNNNNNNNNNNNNNNNNNNNNNNNNNNNNNNNNNNNNNNNNNNNNNNNNNNNNNNNNNNNNNNNNNNNNNNNNNNNNNNNNNNNNNNNNNNNNNNNNNNNNNNNNNNNNNNNNNNNNNNNNNNNNNNNNNNNNNNNCAGUAGACGGUGGAGGGGUGGUUGAACAGUAGCCGGUGGAGUAGCGCGCGGUGGAGGCUGGAUGAACAGGAGCCCGUGGAGGCUGGAUGAACAGGAGCCCGUGGAGGCUGGAGGAGGUCGACGAUGGAGAUGAACAAUAUCCCGUGGAGUCCCGUUUUGCGGUACGCCACACCCCUCCCGAUGAACAGGACCCCCGUUUCGACCGUAGCGCUCCAACACAAGUCCGUUUCCUCCGUUUUGCGGUAUGCCACACCACUCCCGAUCAACAGGACCCCCGUUUCGAUCAUAGGAGGUCUGUUUCCUCCGUUUUGCGCUACGCCAGACCCCUCCCGAUGAACAGGAUCCCGUUUCGAACGUGGCCGGUCGAACACAAGGCCGUUUCCUCCGUUCUACGGUACGCCAGGCCUCGUUUCCAUCGCCUAUUCCGUCCAAGCCCUCCCGAUGAACACGACGCAUUCCGUUGCCUCCCCAUGAACACGGCGCAUUCCGUUGCCUCCCCAUGAACACGACGACGACGUUGUUUCUCCGUUCCGACCCAGCCAUGUACACGAGCCCUGGCCGUACGUAUGCACGAGUAGUUGUUCGAGACCCCGCCCGUAUGUACACAUACAUGGCCGUAUUUUCUUUCUUGCACCCUGGCCGCUGUACGUACGUGUAAAUGCUACGUGCGUGCCUCUACUACGACACGUGCGCGCCUCUACAUCGACCAGUAUGUACGUACACGUUCGCGACCAGAAUGACAACGCUACGUACGCUUCGACCAGGUGGGUCCCGGCUGUCAGGCACUUCCUUGUCUACGAAGAUGUAGCUGGUGGGUCCCAACAGUCAGGGGGCGAAUGUUUUUUUUGCCUGGACGCACUUCCUUGCAUGCGAAAAUGUAGCUGGUGGGUCCCAGCAGUCAGGGGGAAACAUUUUUUUUCACGAAAUACAGUGGCCCAUCCGGUGGGUCCCAGCUGUCAGGUGGAGGAAUCAUUAUUUUCCGCGUAAUAAGGAGGCACUUCCUUGCUGCGGCCGUGGACCCAGCUGUCAGUCUCUCCACGUACAGUCCACGUCCGAUGGAAGUCGUUCCUUGACCACGUUGACCACGCCGUGCCGAGAGCACCAGGGCGGUGGAUGACGUCGAGACCUAGGAAGGGGACGAGAUGGAGGCAGGGAAGACUCGGAAGUUGUUUCCCACGUGGAGGGGAGUACGACUGAACGAGGGUGUACUGGUUCGUUUGCCGUCGCCGGAGAAUAACAACAGGAGUGGGUGAGUAGAGGGAUGGCUAGGCCAGCGACGGGAGUACGGUCGGGCGGUGAGGCCUGCGCAGCAACAUAGCCGGCCGCGAGGCGGAGGGAGCAGGCAGUCCCGCCGGCGCUUGUUUGAGCAGCUGGAGUAGGAAGAGCAGAGAUUGAAGAAGCACGACGGCCGUUGGAUGGACAUCCAAUAGUCAGUGCUUGUGCGUCAACCUUUUUUUAGGAAAGCCUCAAAUCUGUGGAAAACAGCAUACAUCCCAUCUGCCAUUAUUUUUAAUAAUUUACAACCCAUUUGCUAAUUCUUAAGGUUUUUUUGGAGCCCAUAUUCUUUUUCUUAGCAUUACAGCCCAUAUUGUGGCAACGGUUAAAAAAUUAUACGAAAUUUUGCAUAUUUCGGUGCGGUCCGAACUGUUUUUAAUCCUGAAAUUUUGACUCACAUUCAAACUGAUUUUAAAAAUAAAUGUAUAUCGAUAUAAAAUCCAACAAAUUCUCCACGCAUAAAAAUUAAUGUAAUUUAAAAUCUUGAAAUGAAAAAAAGAUAUUUGAAACUAAUUGCCGGUUUGAUGUGUUUUAAAAAUGUACAACCCAUUGCUCAUUACUGAUGGGCCAUUUUCUCGGCCAGCCGAAUGAAAGCUAUCCUCGUCUUGAAAGAUUUGCAGCCCAACAGGCCUGACAAAGCGACUUACUUGGCAAAUCACAAAAAAACUGGGCUGUGGCCGUGGACCCAGCUGUCAGCCUCUCCACGUACAGUACUCUUCCGAUGGAAGUCGUUUCUUGACCACGUUGACCACGCCGCGCGGAGAGCACCACGACGGUGGACGACGGCGAGGCCUAGGAAGGGGACGACGCGGCAGUGGAAGCUCGCGCGGAGAGGACUACGAGGGUUCACUGGUUCGGCUGCGGUGUGAGGCUGUCGUCGCCGCAGGGCCUGGCCAGCGGUGGAAAUAGUAGGGGGCGGUGAGGCCUCUGCGGCAGCACAGCCGGCCACGGGAGGCAGGAGCAUACGGCACGACCGGCGCUGCUUUGGGCGGCUGGAGCAAGAAGACCAGAGGUUGAAGAAGCACUACGGCCGUUGGAUGGACAUCGUACGGUCACUGGAGCUAGAAUCGUUCAUAUUGACUAAGUUGACAAAGCCCUUCAUCCUCGUCAACUUAGUAGGCCCACAAGUCAGCCUCCCAGCAAGGUGGGUCCCAGCUAGCCGGGGGAGUAUUCAUUUUUUAUGCGUAAUAAGGAGGCACUUCCGGUGGGUCCGAGCUGACAGCGGGGGGAAUGUUUUUUCACGAAAUACGGUGGCUCGUCCAGUGGGUCCCAGCAGUCAGGGGGAAACGAUUUUUUUCACAAAAUACUGGUGGCCCGUCCGGUGGGUCCCCGCUGUUAGGUGGAGGAAUAAUUAUUUUUCGCGUAAUAAGGAGGCACUUCCUUGCGGCUGCCGUGGACCCAGCUGUCAGCCUCUCCACGUACAGUACUCUUCCAAUGGAAGUCGGUUGUUGACCACGCCGCGCCAAGAGCACCAGGGCGGUGGAAGACGGCGAGGACUAGGAAGGGGACGACUCGGAGCCGGGGAAGACGCAGCAGUGGAUGCCCACACGAAAAGGAGUACGAGGGUUCACUUGUUCGGCUGCGGUGUGAGGCUGCUGUCGCCGCAGAAUAACAUGGGGUGUGGGUGAGUAGAGGGAUGGCCUGGCCAGCAGUGGGAGUAGUAGGGGGCGGUGAGGCCUCCGCGGCAUCACAGCCGGCCACGGGAGGCAGGAGCACGCGGCACGACCGGUGCUGGUUUGGGCGGCUGGAGCAAGAAGACUAGAGGUUGAAGAAGCACUACGGCCGUUGGAUGAAUAUCGUACGGUAACAGGAGCUAGAAUCGUUCAUAUUGACUAAGUUGACAAAGCCCUCCGUCCCCGUCAACUUGGUAGGCCCACAAGUCAGCCUCCCACUAUGCUGGGUUCCAGCUGGCAGGGGGAAUAUUCAUUUUUUUGUGCGUAAUAAGGAGGCACUUCCUUGCGUGCGAAGAUAGCUGGUGGGUCCGACAUGUCAGCGGAGGGGCACUUUAUUUCGCGAAAUACAGAGGCCCUUCCGGUGGGUCCUAGAUGUUAGGUGGAGGAAUCAUUAUUUUGCGCGUAAUAAGGAGGCAUUUCCUUGUGUGCGGCCGUGGACCCAGCUGUCAGCCUCUCCACGCACAGUCUACUUCUGAUGGUGUCGUUUGUUGACCACAUUGACCAUGCCGCGCCGAGCGCAUCCAAGGUGGUGGACGACGACGAGGCCCCGGACAGCAACGAGUCGGAGAUGGGAAGACGCGGGAGUAGAGUCGCAGACAGAGAGGUGUACGAGGGUUAACUGGUUCUAGUGCGGUGUGGUUCGGUAGUCGGUGGAGAAGAACAGGAGGUGUGGAGGGGUGGAGGGAUGGCCUGGCCAACGGUGGAGUAGCGCUUCAUAGCGAAGCGUGCUAAGCAGAGCUGCUAGCAGCAGGAGGCGGGAGGUGGUCCCGACGGCGCUGGAGGAAGAAGACGAGAGAUUGAAGAUGGAUGCCGUUCGUUGGAUGUAAAUCCAAUGGCUAACAUGUCAGAAUCAUUUGUUGACUAAAUUGACAACGACUUGCAUUGGCUUCGACCUAUUGGCCCACAUUUCAGCCUCAAAAAAUAUGGCACGUAUUCAACCCAUUUUUUCAGAAUCUACAGUCUUUUUUUUGCGCGGUAGAAUUUACAGUCAAUUUGAUCUUUUUUUGAGUUACAGCCAUUAGCUGGGCUGGGUGAACAAAUAAUGUAGCGUCCAUGCGGCCCCUUUAUUUUAUUUCCUAAAAAAUUACAGCCCAUUUGCACUUUCUCAAAAUACACGAUUUUGCUGGGCUGAUUCGAAUUAUAAUGUUGGGUUGGGCCAGCAAUGUUAUCAAAAAAUAAAAAGGGGCUGAGCAUUUUGUUAUAAAUAUAUUUAAAUAAUAAGUGAUAUUAUUACAUUCAUCCUUAAAUUUAUAGUCUUACCAAGCUUUAUAUAAUAACAUAUAAAAUAAUGUUUUUAAAAAAACAGGGAGCAUCUCCCCGGUUCCAUUCUUGAGAACGAAACCACAACAUAUUCUGAUACAACAGCUCAAAGAGCAGUUCGAAAGCAAAGGUAGAAAAGCUACAAACUAGGGGGGUGGAUGAACAAGUUCUCUGAAUAACACAAAUCACCCGAGCGGUGCCAAAGGCAGAGCGGAUAGAGCACUCAAAUGACACAAGGAGGGUCCAGCGAAGCCUUCAUGGUCUUCAGUCGAGGGGCCGUGUCAGCCUGCGGCGACCAGUAAGCAAGCGGAGACACCAGGCUGGAAGGCAUAGUAUGGUGGAUGUCCCUCUUUUUCGGUGCUAGGUGCCCAUCAUCUUCAUCAGAGAUCUUGAGACGAGCCCAUGGGUCCAACCCCAGAGCAGGUCGAGCCUUGUUUAGCCACAAGUGAUUGCCAACGGUUUCUGGAGGGAUCUUGUUAGGGUUUCCACGAAGCUCAUCAACUUGUCCUUGUCCGAUCCGGAGGAGAGAAUCGCCCAGUUCCUCACCAUGUUCCUGAUCAACCUCAAGACCUGCGGAAUGGAAAUCCAGGAGGUGUUACUGAAAAUCAUAGCAUUUCUAUAUUUUUAGAGGCACCAAAGGACAGCUGAGCUAAUAGUGUUUAAAACUGAGCACUCUUUGGUAGCAAUCCAGAAUCUGGCGACAUAUUCGAAGGAUGAGCCAAUAUGACUAGAGAAAUAUUCCUCAACAUGGGCCCAGAUAUGUUUAGCAACUAUACAUUCAAAAAAUAGGUGAGAACAAGACUCUUGUUCCAAGCAGUAAACACAAUCAAGGGGUUUGAUGAUGUGUAUCUUCCUAAGGUUAUCCCUAGUCAUCAAUUUGUUUUUGGAGAGAAGCCAGAGAAAUACAUGAAUUUUAGGGGAACUCUCUAUUUCUAGAUAGCAGGGAUAAACACGGGUUGAACCCCUCUAAAGUUGAUAACAUGAUAGAGGGAGCUGGAGGAAUACUUCCUCUUAUUGUCCAGCUGCCAUAUCAGGGCAUUCGGCUCGGCAGUAAAGGUAAUGCUUUUGGCAAUUUCCUCCAACUAGAACCAUUGUUCCAUGAGACUAUCACUAAAGUUCCUUCUAAAAGAGAGUUUUAGGCAUUGACCGUCCCAAACUUCAUUGACACUUUUGUUAAGCUCAUUGCGGACAGAGUAAAUAGGCCAAAAUUGGAGUGCUAGGGGGGAUGUGCCAAACCAAGUAUCUUCCCAUAACCUGGUUCUGCUCCCAUCCCCUAUGUUCCAUCUGUAGCCAAAUUUCACAGCAUGCAUAAUAGAUUUUAAUCCUUUCCAGAAUCUAGAGGUCUUAGGGUUGGAGGAAGGGACAAAAAUAUUAGGUUUAUUUCCUAGGUAUUUAUGGGCAAUAAGAAGCUUCCAGGGUUUCAGGUCUUCCUCAUAGAAUCUUUUAAUCCAAGACCCUAGAAGACAGAUGUUAAUUUCUUGGAGGUUAGGUAUGCCUAGGCCUCCAAAAUCUUUUUUCAUAGAGACUAGGGCCCAAUUAGCAAGGUGUAGCUUCCUAUUUCCCUCAAAAUCAUUCCACAAGCAAUGAGACAUCUGAGAAUUGAUGAGGUUCACUGCCCAUUUAGGGAACUUGACGAAGAAGAGGAGAUACACUGGAAUUCUAGCCAAACAAGCUUGUAUGAGGAUCAAUCUACCUCUGUAAGAGAGAACUUUGCCCCUCCACCCAACAAUCCUUUUCAUGAUUUUAUCCAGAAGGGGUUGGAUAUCCUCUCUCCUCAGUUUAUCAUAGUGGAGAGGGAUACCUAGGUACUUAAUGGGGAAGUUACCUUUAUUACAGACUAGAAUAGAGAGGAAGUCAGGUAACUCCUGAUCAUCCAUGUUGAUAGGGAUGAGUUCACUUUUAGAGUAGUUGAUUCUCAUGCCUGAGACUUGUUCAAACCAGGUUAGAACAAUUUUCAGAUUGCUAGCAUGUGUGGAGUCAUUGUCUAAGAAAAGGAUAGUAUCAUCUGCAUAUUGAAGGCAGAUGAUGCCACCAGGGCAUACCUCAGGACAGAGCCCUGCAAUCAGACUAUGAUCAGCAACUUUUCUCAGCAUUUUAGUAAGAACAUCCACUACUAAAUUAAACAAAAGCGGGGAGAUGGGGUCACCUUGCCUAAGGCCUUUACCAGCAAGGAAAAAAAUCACUUUCACAGUUAUUUAACUUGAUCCCAACAGACCCCCCAUGAGUAAGUUGCUGGAUCCAACUCUCCUCUAUGAAAGGCUUGGAAAAGAUCUAAGAGAUCAUUUUUCACCAAGUCCCAAAAAUGCUGGUAAAAUAAGAAGGGAAUCCCAUCAGGACCAGGAGCCCCAUCAGGAUAAGAUCUAAAAAUGGCUUCCUUCACCUCUGUCUCUGAAAAAGGGGCUUCUAGCAGCUCAUUUUCAGCAGGAGAGACUUUUUCAGAAGCAGAGAAAAAAUUGUUUUAUAGGGAGAACCCAGAAGGGUUUUCUUUCUUAAACAGGUCUUUGUAGAAGUCACUAGCCACUUUCAGCAUCUCAUCUACCUCAGUAACAGGGCCAUUAGGGCCAUCAAGGGAGUAAAUGAGGGUUUUCCUCCUCCUCUGGUUAGCUACUACAUGGAAGUAAGCAGUAUUUCUAUCACCCUCCUUAAUGUUCCUAUCUAUAGACCUUUGUUUGGCUUUGAUUUCUUCUUGAAGCCAAAUUUUCUUGAGCUCUCCAUGGACAAAGUUUAAUCUAUUAGUCUCAGCCUCAGAGAGGUCAGUGGUUUCUACCUUAAUAUCUAGAGAAUCAAACUAAAGGAGGAGAAGCCUUUUGUAUCUUCUAAGAUUAGCUUCCUCAUUGGAGUUCCACCCUUUGGUAGUUCUUCUAAAUCUCCUGAUUUUGAUCUGCCAAUUUUCUAGGGGGCAGCUGCUCCCAGUAGGCUCAUUCCAGAUUUUCCUGACUACCUCAGUAAAAUCUUCUCUAAGCAACCACCACUUUUCAAAUUUAAAACUAUUGCUCUUUGGAGUUUGGUUAAGACCAGAGUCCCAGAGCAAAGGAGUGUGGUCACUACCACAUCUGGGCAGAGCUCUACAACUAGAAAGGGGAAAAACUAUCUAAUUCUGUGUCACAGAAAAUUCUGUAAAUGGUGGAUAUAAUCCUGGUGCAGCACUUCCAACAUAUCUAGCAGAACUAUGGGUUUUCCUUCUGACAGGGCAAUUCUCAACUUUAUGGGUAACCAUUUUGCAGAUAAAACAACUCUUGUGCUUGACACAUUUAUCCAAAUGAUGCGCUGGUUCCCCAUAGUUGUAGCAGAUCACCUUAGAGUAUGCCAUAAGGCCUGAAGCAGGGGCAGGAGCAGUUUUCUAGAUGUCCUAUCUCUUCUUUUGCUGAUUCUUGCCUUGAGAUUUCCCACUGAUCUGAGAGUCAGAACCACCAACAGAUUAAUAUUGGGCAAUUACAGGAGCCUGCCCAGAUUGUGCCCCCAUUUGGGGCGGAGGUGGGCCGUACCACUGCCCAACCGGCGCUCCCUCAUUAUGGUAGGGGAAAUUCAUCGGAGUUCCUGGUUCCUUCUCAUCCUCCAGCUAGAUGUUGUCUCUCAGGAAGCAGAAAUAACCACCAGACAGCUCAAUUGAAGCAGAUUGCAAGCCUAAUUUCAAUCUUCUGUAGGUUUGAGGGAGAGGUAAGGUAGGGGAUCCACCUGCUCCGGCUCCGGUGGCGUGCUGGUGGGCAGGAGUCCAGUCAAGCAUUCCCAUCUCGCAGCACGGCGUGGAUCUCCUUAAUUCACUUCUCCUUUCGCCCAUCGAACGAACACAAUCAGCGGCUCACUGGGGUGGGGCAUCCUGUGCUUCUCCGAGAAAUCUCCUUUGAAGUAGAUCCGCAGGGCUAGAUUCAGCAGCUCCCAGUCCACAUGAUCCUUGCACAUCCGAGCAUACCUGCGCGAGUGAGAGAACGGAUUCGGUCCCUCCUUGGCUUCCUCCCUCGCAGCUUUCUCCUCUGCUUCCCUCCAUUCGCGUGUGCACUAGGUCCAGGAGAGAGCAUCGUCGCGGAUCCGCAUCGCCCGCUCCCUCCAUCUCCUCCCUCGAGUCUCCCGCAGCACCACCGGCGCGAUGGAGUCGAGCGGUUGGAGCAUCCGCGGGAAGGCUUUGUAGACAUGUGGGAGAUGCAUCUUGUACAUCUGCCUGUCUUCCAGCCAUUCCCUUGUGGAUAUGGUCGGCGACUNNNNNNNNNNNNNNNNNNNNNNNNNNNNNNNNNNNNNNNNNNNNNNNNNNNNNNNNNNNNNNNNNNNNNNNNNNNNNNNNNNNNNNNNNNNNNNNNNNNNNNNNNNNNNNNNNNNNNNNNNNNNNNNNNNNNNNNNNNNNNNNNNNNNNNNNNNNNNNNNNNNNNNNNNNNNNNNNNNNNNNNNNNNNNNNNNNNNNNNNNNNNNNNNNNNAGGGGAUCGCGAGAGCGGUCAUCUAUUUGCCAAUUAUGUGAACUAAACAGUCAACAUAUAAAAUAAUUUAAAUAUAUACAAUAUAGUUAGAAGGGAAACAUAAGUUGGACCUGGCGUUCCUAUUCUUAUAUAAAAAUAGAACAGACCUCUGUGUUUUCUUCAAAAAAAUACAUAAAUUGGGCUGCCAAAAAUAAAACCUCGGAUGGGAGGUCCAUAGGCCGGUCGAUACAUGAGGGCCCUAAGAAAAUACAAACAAGCCUAUGGACCUCCCAUCCGAGGACGUGGGAUGCGCAUGUUAAAAAUGAAAGCCUAGACGGGGCAGCCCAGUACCACGUCCAACACUUGCCAAAAUUCCGUCCCUCGUUUUCUCUGUGUUUCACACACUCGACAUUGUGUGGGCAUUUUGACUGUGCAUCAUAUGAAGAUGUGCUAUGCAUGAAUGUUGAUCAGCAUGAUGUUAACUGCCUGGUAGUUCCAUUUUCGACCAUGAAUAAAACUUCCAACAUGAUGUUAACCCUGUUUGAAAAGGAUGUGUUAAUAUAAAUGCUCUGCCUCUGAAAGUUGCAGUUUCUUAUCUGAAACUGAACUUGCAGUUUCUUAUCUGAAACUGAAACUUGCAGUUUCUUCUCUGAGAAUCACAUUGUCUGCACUUUUAUACUCCUAUGAAACUACAUUUUUAAAUGCUAAAAAUAGAUAUCUAGAAUUCAUAAAAUACUUCAUAUGCUCAAUACUGCAAAUCUGAAAUUCAAAAGACAUUCAUAUCUGAAAGUACUCUCAAAAUACACAACACAAAACACAAUUCACAACCUGCAAAUACUGACAACCCUAAGCUCCUCCUGACAAUUCACAACCUGCCGGACUAUUGGUAUACUAUAUACUAUUUAAAAGUCGAGGGUGAGGCUUUUCCUGCGCGGUAGGCAGCGGGGCAGUUCCACCUAGUCGGUUCGACAGAGACGCGAGAAGAUGAGGGAGUAGGCUGCUGCAAAUGUAGGGCUGUGUGAUUUGACAGCGAGUUACCGCUGGACAGGUGGGGCCCCGUGAUUUGACUUGCCAUUAUCAUUUUAACUGCGGCGCUACGACCGGCGUGAGUCUCCCAGAUUCCUGACCACCUCCAUACAGGUGCCUCUCCCAAUGCUCCACCAUGUAGUAGAGGCUGGCUCUUGCAUGAGAGCCCACUUCUCCACUUUUUUCUUGCCUCUCUUUCCUCCACAUAUGCAAAAAUGCCAUGUAAAGCGCACUAUUGUACUUACUUUUACUUGCUCCUACAGGUGCUUAAGCUUGCCACAUAAGCAUAAAGUCUGAUGUGGCAAGUUAAUCAAGAAGAGAGAGACUAAUUUGUUGACCCAAGGAAGAAACGGUGCUAAGCGCGUGUACCUAGGUGAAAAGACAAUUUUGAGUCUAUAGCUAAUUAAAUGAAGCAAACUUAGCAACACCAUUUCAUUGGAAGAGGUCACUCCUUGGCAAAUGCAAUAAAUUCACACGCUUAGCACCGUUUCUUCCUUGAGUACGAAGAAAGAGAUAGAGAGGAGUAAAAAAAAUACACUUAUAGCCAUUGUAAUAUGAGUGACUAAGUGAUGACUAUGUAUGACAUGCCAACAUCAGAUAUCCUAACGCACCGUGUUAAAUCUCCAAGGGCGCGACCGCGCGAGCGACGCGACGGUCGUGGUAGGCGCGACCAUGAUACGGGCUGCUGGCAGCCCUUGGAUCUGAGAUCAAACGGUCGCAUGCUAAGUUGCUGAAAAUUUGCAAAAUAACCCUCCAGGAUAGGAUAUUCACCCAUAGGUCUAGAAUCACGCCAUGCAACCGUUCGAUCUCAGAUCCAAGGGCUCUCGGAAGCCCGUAUCAUGGGAGAAUGGAAAGCCACUACCCUGCCGUUCGCAUGCUGGCAGUUCGCUCCUACUCGUCCCUGCACGUCCUUCAAUACUACGGCAGUUCGCUCCUAGUCGUCCCGUCCAUUCACAUUACGGCAGUUCCACUAAUCCUAACCCUCCUCCCAAAUCCAUGGCGUCCCAAAUCUCCAUGAUCGGCGGUGAGUACAAGGUUAGAACCAUCACCGGCGAUGAGUUUGACGUCAUCUACACCCGUUCUUCCGCGACGGUGAAAGGAUGCCUUUCUCGCUUCAGACGCAUGUUCGAAGACUCAGAUGAUGAGUGGGUCACUGGGCUAGAUGUUGAGUACACCAUAGUCCUGGGACGAGAGAAGGAUCUAAAGGACGAAGAGAGGAAGAAGCCCGCCGUGAUCCAGGUUUGCGUGCAUGACUUAUGCUUGGUCUACCACAUAUGCCAUGCCGACGUUGAGUGCCAGGAUUUUAAGGACUUCCUCGAGAGCAACCUAGUCAAAUUCGUUACUGUAGACUUUGGUAACGACAAAGAAGUCCUGCAUCAGAUAGGCGUCGUUGUAGGCAACACCUUCGACCUCCAGAAGAAUCAGCUGGUGUCCUCUCGUCAGCCUUCAAUGCUGACCCUAGCAGGAGCCAUGGUUCAUCCUUCGUACGGUAAACUGGAGAAACCUCAUUACACGUUUCAUCGUCAUGCAUGGCAGCGGAAUGUACUAGAUAUAGACCACAUCCACUACGCUGCAAUGGAUGGCUACCUUUGCUUCAAUAUCUACAAGGGUUGGAUGAAGAGCCAAGUGUGCGGUUCAAGCAAAGAAGUAUCGUCCAAGAGGAACAGGGACAAGGACGAAGUCGAGGACGUGGACGAGGACUCCGAGUAAGGUGGCAGUGUCGUUGCUCAUGGUGGUUCUAAUGCAGUGUCUACCGGAAUAGUUGCAAAGUUUAAUUUCAGGUGUGCUUAAUUUAAUUUGAGGGGUGUGUUGUGCUGAGCCCCCAGCAGAACUAUGUUAUGUUUCUUCUUGUUACUUUAACUCUUCAGUACGUACAUACUAGUAUUUCUUACAUUUCAUCUUUUAGUUGGUAUAGUACUACCACUCGUUUAUACACAUUAUAUACGUACAAUAUAUAUGGCCAACAUCAUAUAGCCAACAGUUUAGUUGUCAAAGAAUUUAAGGGUGCUUAGUUUUGUCAAAGAAUUUCGGGAUGCUUAGAGGGUGCUUGGAUCCAAGGGAUUUAUUUUAGUCUGACUAAAAAUAGUCUCUUUAAGAGGCUAAAGUUCCAAGCACCACUGACUAAAGAGGGUGAGGGAGUCCUGGAUUAGGGGGUGUCCGGAUAGCCGGACUAUACCUUCGUCGGACUCCUGGACUAUGAAGAUACAAGAUUUAAGACUUCGUCCCAUGUCUGGAAGGACUUUCCUUGGCGUGGAGGCAAGCUUGGCGAUACGGAUAUGUAGAUCUCCUACCAUUGUAACCGACUCUGUGUAACCCUAGCCCUCUCUGGUGUCUAUAUAAACCAGAGAGUUUUAUUCCGUAGGACAGACAACAAUCACACCAUAGGCUAGCUUCUAGGGUUUAGCCUCCUUGAUCUUGUGGUAGAUCUACUCUUGUACUACCCAUAUCAUCAAUAUUAAUCAAGCAGGACGUAGGGUUUUACCUCCAUAAAGAGGGCCCGAACCUGGGUAAAACAUCGUGUCCCCUGCCUCCUGUUACCAUCCGCCUUAGACGCACAGUUCGGGACCCCCUACCCGAGAUCCGCUGGUUUUGACACCGAUAUUGGUGCUUUCAUUGAGAGUUCCUCUGUGUCGUCACUUUUAGGCCCGAUGGCUCCUCUGAUCAUCAACGACGAUGCGAUCCAGGGUGAGACUUUUCUCCCCGGACAGAUCUUCGUAUUUGGCGGCUUUGCACUGCGGGCCAAUUCGCUUGGCCAUCUGGAGCAGAUCGAAAGCUACGCCCCUGGCUGUCAGGUCAGAUUUGGAAGUUUAAACUACACAGCGGACCUCCGCGGAGACUUGAUCUUCGACGGAUUCGAGCCGCAGCCGAGCGUGCCGCACUGGCACAAUGGGCAUGAUCUAGCUCUGCCGCCGAACAGUGCCCUGGAGGCCGCACCCGCAUCAGCUCCGACGCUUAAUUCGGAGACAAGUGCGCCAAUCGAGGAUGGGUGGUUGGACCCCGCCUCGGGGGCUGCAAUCUCUAUCGAUCGAGCCGAACACGAGCCCUAUUCUCUGCGAAGCCCGUGACUCCAAGGAGCCGGACUCCUCUCCAGACUCCGAGCCCUCCGCGCCCCUACCGAUCGAACCCGAUUGGGCGCCGAUCAUGGAGUUUACCGCCGCGAACAUCUUUCAGCACUCGCCCUUCGGCAAUAUUCUGAAUUCACUAAAGUCUCUCUCUUUAUCAGGAGAGCCCUGGCCAGACUAUGGUCAACAAGGUUGGGAUGCGGAUGAUGAAGAAAUUCAAAGCCCACCCACCACCCACUUCGUAGCCACUGUUGAUAAUUUAAACGACAUGCUCGACUUCGACUCCGAAGACAUCGACGGUAUGGACGACGAUGUAGGAGAUGAACAUGAACCAACGCCUAUAAGGCACUGGACAACCACCUCAUCUCAUGAUGUAUACAUGGUGGACACACCCAAAGGAAGCGACGACGAGGAACACAGGGAUGCAACGAGGGAUCGUUCACUCGAAAAGCAAUCAAAGUGGCAACGUAAGCGCCGCUCCAAGCGCCGCCUCGACAGAGAUAGUAGCCAUACAGACCCAGCCAUAGAGCAGGAUGAGCCGGCGGACGACGAACAUGCCUUCGAGCAACCGUCCGAAUAGGGCAACUUGGAUAAACAAACCGAACACCCCGUCCCCGGCGAAAACAAUAGUCCGGAUGACCUUACGCCGGAUAGGCUCAUGGAGCAGAAGAACCUCCACGAAGGGCUCGUCGCCACUGCGCGUAGCCUGAAAAAGCAGAAGCGGAAGCUCAAAACUGCGGAAGAUGCACUCAGAAUCAGAUGGAGCAAAGUACGCAACACCGCAGACAAAUAUGGCGGCACUCGCCGCACAAAAAGCUAUCCAAAGCGAAAGCUACUGCCUGAAUUUGACGAGGAGGCCUUAGAGCCCCCGCAGUCAAAAAAUAGGAAAGCCACCCGGUCGGAUAGACGACCGCAUGGCCAGCAUGGAGCGGCAAGUGGCGACGCACACAAGCUGGCACGCGAUCCACCAAAGGAUCCGCAUCAAAAAGAUGGCCCAGCCAGAUCUAUCUACGGGCCAAGAAAGCAAGCUCUAGUAAGCAAUGCAACACAACAAAUAUUCGAACAUCACGGCACAUCCAAAUACAGGGGUGCCACACACCCCCUAUGUUUCACCGAUGAGAUGCUGGACCAUGAAUUUCCAGCGGGAUUCAAGCCCGUAAACAUAGAGGCGUAUGACGGAACAACAGACCCUGGGGGUCUGGAUCGAGGAUUAUAUCCUCCACAUACACAUGGCCAGAGGAGAUGACCUCCACGCCAUAAAAUACUUACUCCUCAAGCUUAAAGGGCCAGCCUGGUAUUGGCUCAAAAGCCUUCCCGAAAACACCAUGGGAAGUUGGGAAGAGCUUGAGGAUGCUUUCCGGGCAAAUUUUCAAGGGAACUAUGUCCGCCCUCCGGAUGCAGACGAUCUCAGUCACAUAACUCAACAGCCCGGAGAGUCAGCCCGGAAAUUCUGGAACAUAUUUCUUACUAAAAAGAAUCAGAUAGUCGACUGUCCGGACGCCGAAGCCCUAGCAGCUUUUAAGCAUAACGUUCGAGACGAAUGGCUCGCCAGACACCUCGGCCAAGAAAAGCCAAGAACAAUGACCGUAUUAACAAGCCUCAUGACCCGCUUUUGCGUAGGAGAGGACAGCUGGUUGGCAAGAUGUAGCACCAACGACCCAAGUACAUCUGAAGUUAGGGAUGGAAACGGAAAACCCCGACGCAGCAAGGACCAGCGCCGGAAUAAGGGAAACAGCCCAAAGAGCACGGCGGUCAACGCCGGAUUCAAAAGCUCGCGCCAGAAUCAGAGAAAGCCGCCCCUCAAGGAUAACAGGGACGAGCUAUCCAACUUAAACAAAAUCUUGGACAAGAUAUGUCAAAUACACAGUACUCCCGGGAAGCCUGCGAACCAUACCCACAGAGAUUGUUGGGUUUUCAAGCAAUCCGGCAAACUCAACGCCGAACACAAGGGGCUCGACACACCAAGUGAGGACGACGACGAACCCCACAAGCAGAGCACCAGGAAACAAAAGGAUUUCCCACAAGAAGUCAAAACAGUAAACUUACUUCACGUGACGAACAGAAUGGCGCCAACAGAGAUACGCGCCAUACGGCCUAUCCCAAAGGAGUCUCGCCAAUGGUUGUUAAAACCGAUCACCUUCGACCAUCAGGAUUACUCUAGAAGUAUCCGGAACGCGGGCUGGACUGCCUUGGUAUUAGAUCCAAUAAUCGACGGACUCCACUUUACAAAUGUCCUGAUGGACGGCGGCAGUGGUCUAAACCUGUUAUACCAGGACACAAUCCGCAACAUGGGGAUAGACCCAACAAAAAUUUGCCAUAGAAAAACCUCCUUUCAAGGUGUAACGCCAGGCCCGGAUGCCCGUUGCAUGGGUUCUCUCCGGCUAGAAGUUAUGUUCGGCUCCCCCGAUAACUUUCGUCACGAACAACUAACUUUCCACAUCGCCCCAUUCUCAAGUAGCUAUCAAGCACUGCUGGGAUGCGAAGCUUUCGCCCGCUUUAACGCAAUACCGCAUUAUGCAUCUCUUACGCUUAAGAUGCCCGGUCCACGAGGCAUCAUCUCAUUAAAGGGAAAACAUUGAGUGUUCCCCCCGCGCGGAAGACAAUGCGGCUGCCUUGAUAGCCCCACAAUAAAGCGGCUUCACCAGCCAAAGCACCUAAACAGGUCGUCAAGACCACGGACACGGCUAGACGAGUCCGGCAUAAACAUACAAUUGAUAAAGGCUUAAUAGCCGUAUACCCCUGUACUAGGGGCUCCGCACAUAUAAAACAAGAGACAAUAAAGCUCAAUUUUACCCAUUUCUAUUUAUACUUCGUUUAUUUAGUAUAACUCAUGUUCGUCACGAUCUUUCCUAAACUAAGUUCCUUUCUUUUACAGAUGAACACCAUGCUACGCCCAUCCAGGAUACGGCACAACAGAGACACAUGCGCAGACGUGCAGCAGGGACCCGUUCCAAGGAUUCUUUUCAGAUUAAGACCCUGCGUAAACCUUUUUUACUGUCUCUUAUUGAUACACAUCCCCUGGUUUCUUGGUAUAACCAAGGAGGAGGCUGGCGUUUUGGCAUGUGGCCACAUCAAAGUUUUGUGCGUACCUAGACACUAGGGGCUUAUUACUAAGGGCGUUAUCCCGCCCGCCCUCAUAAAGACCGAAUACCUUAGGGAGUGUUCGGCGUCGUGAGUUUGGCCUUAUAUGCAUCAGCUUCGAAUCAUGUCUUUGGUCAAAUGUUGGGUUUGCCCAGCUCCUGUGUUUUGCUACCUUACGUCCCGCUCUAUCGGCUAAGGCGGCACCAGGAGAACUACUGCGAUUGUGCCCCGGUUCGGCCAAGCGAGCACCUCAGUAGAGAAAGCCGAAAACUGAUUGUCAUGAUAUAGCGUGAGACUGGUCAACCACUCGAUGACUUACCAGAAUCUUUAGGAUUCCUUCGCAUUAACGAAGGGCCGCUUCCCGGCCAGGCACAUACGCGCCUCGAGUUCGGGCGAGCGCAGGCGCCACCAGGGGCUAUAUAAGUAGCCUCACUGUCAAACUCCUAUGGCUAAGUGAAAGUGAUAAAGCAUCAUAGUACGAUUGCCUAGUUCAUUGCGCUAUCACCUCCUUUGUAGGACCAAGACGUUGGAUCAAGUGUGAAAAUGCGCCUUCUGCGAACACCCCUGCAUUAUGUGUGUGGGGGCUGAAGCCGACGACUACCAUCUUUCAGAUUAUAUAUACAUAUAUGUUAAACGGCCGCACAAGAGGUAUUAUAAUACUUGCAAGCACAAGUAUAAAAAGCUUCUACAAUUUAUCAAAAUAUUGUUUUACAAUAAUAUAUGCUAUUCGAAUAUAGUAUCCUUCGAGCACUGCGUCUCUAUUAAACGAGCGCCUUGCAGAACUUCCUGAAAAUAGUGCUCGGCAGGUACUCGGCUUCCAUCUGAGUCUGAGGAUGCAACAGUGGUGGCCUCCAUUUCCGCCCAGUAUGUCUUCACACGGGCAAGAGCCAUCCGCGCACCCUCUAUGCACGCUGACCUCUUCAUCGCAUUGAUAUGUGGGGCCGCACCAAGGAACUGCUGCACUAAGUUGAAAUAACUUUUCGGCUCUAGCCUCUCUGGCCACAGAUGACUCAUGACAUACUUCAUGGCGAAUCCGGACAACCUAUUUAGCUCGGCCCAUUCGUCCAAAUGAUCGGCUAAUGACAGUGGACGCUCCGGAUUGUGGAACUGCGACCAAAAGAGCUUUUCCACUUCGCGAUCUUCUUGAUCUCGGAAGUGUUCGGCCGCAUCUGCGGCACUCGCUGCCAAAUCCAGAUAGGUGUCCGCCGUACUCCACAUCCGGUCUAACGAAGCAUGUUUAGGAUCACAGAACUUCCUCCGCAGCAUAAAGGGCUUUCCAGCCGCGAUCUCUCCGGCCUGACGCAGCUCCUCCUUCAUAGCUCUCAUUGCAGAGCGAGCAUCCUUGGCAUCGGAAAUGACCUUCUCCAGGUCUGUCUGUUCUGCCUGAUCUUCUUUUUCAAGAAGCUUGCAACGGUCAGCAGCGUUCUUCAGCUUCACGACCAUCUCGGCCAUUUCCUUCUUGCUUCGGUAGUGAGUAGCCUGUUCGGCUUUCAGCUCUUUAAUUGCCUUUCCGGUAGCUGCAUCACUUUUCCUGGCUUGCUCCUUGGCUCGGGCAAGUUCCGCCCGAAGAUUCUCCAUGGCAGCAACACCAUCUGCAUCAAGCGCACACAUUGUAAGAUACUGGCAUAAAGCUCCUCUUACCAAGUGCCGCCAGAGGAAUUACAUACCUUGUGCCUCGUCAAGCCGCUUGUUGACAAGCGCGAUGUCGGCAUCUGCCAUGUCAAGUUGCCGCUUUAGCUCGGCAAAUUCAUUAGUCCAGCUUACCACCGGACACUUCGCCACCUACGUAUGAAGGUGGCAUAUUAGACCUGGGAUUAUGAUCCUCUGCGCGCCAUCACUUUUGACAAUGCACAGAGUCUCAGGGGCUACUACCUACACAGGGCGCAUAUUAUUUAUGCGCAACUGUCCAAAAAGGGUACAUUAUUUCGCGUACCUCAAAACCUGUCAGUAAACUCCUGACGGCCUCGUGCAAUCCGCUCUCCGCGGAUGAAAUCCUCUCAAUCACCGUACCCAUCAAUGCACAGUGCUCCUCUGAGAUAGAUGCUCGCCCUAGCAGAUCCUUCAGCUCCUCCGACCGCGCACCAGACGGCACCGGACUCGUCCGAUGGCCCUUUUCGAAGGCCGGACGCGGAGGGCUUUGGGGGGCCAUAUGACUACCUUCCGGCCCUGCCGGAUUCGAAUAAACCCUCCGCGACGAUACCUCAGGGUCGCCCGCCUCGCAAGGCGGUACGACAGGGGGAGGUGUUCCGCUCUCCAUCAUCUCCGGAAGAAGAUCCCCCGAAGACGAGCUCUGCUGAGAAGGGCUAAGGUCCGAGCUACAAGGUAAAUUUUCGAUUACUUUUCUCAGAUAUAAAGCAAGGAUUUCUCUCGUUUCUUAAAAAGAAAACUCCUCUCUACUUACGGCUUGGUGGAGGGCUGAUCCCCUUGAGGGCAUAAUUUGGCCGAAGUAUCCCCCAGCACAGGACCCUCUGGCGAAGAUUUCUUCCCCCGCUUUGAGGCCAUGGUCUCCGGGUCUUCAGAGGCGGUCCUCUUCUUCCCCUGAGGAGAGGAAUUUUCGAUUCCUCCCUUCCGGACAACCUCCUUCGAGGAGGCUGUAGCUUCCUUAUCCCCUCCCUCGCUUUCCUUUGAAGGCACAACCUCCAACAUCCUGACUAGCAUGGGACCCUGUGUGGUCUCGGGGAGGGGGGCCGGACACCUGAUUAGCUUUGCUUUCGCUAUCCACUCCUGUUUAAAGGACAACUCUUUUAGGGGCAAUUUUAUGAUAAGUAUAUGGAUAGCGAGUUCGGGCACAAGGCUACUUACUUGAGUAUCCGAACGAUUGCAGCUCAGACCUGCGUCCUCCGUAGAAUCCGGACACACUACUUGUGGUCCGAAGAACAAUUUGUACAUCUCCACGGGCGUCAUGCCAAGAAAAUGUUGGAGAACUCGUGGUCCCUCCGGGUUGAACUCCCACAGGCGGAGGGGGCGACGUUUGCAGGGCAGAACUCGGCGAAUUAACAUAACCCGCGUCACCACGACCAGACUAAUGUCUCUUUCUAGGAGAUCUCGGAUGCGGCCCCGCAACAGGGGCACGUCCUUUGCCGACCCCCAGUCCAGCCCCUUACUGACCCAUGACGCCAGUCGUGGCGGGGGACCCAAGCGGAAAGCAGACAACGCCACCCACUUGGUGCUCCUGGGAGCUGUGAUAUAAAACCACUCUUGUUGCCAUAAGCUGGACUCCCCUUGAAAAGAGCCCUCGGGCCAUGGAGCACCAACAUUCUUGCUUAUAAAAGCACCUCCGCACUCCGUGUGCCGUCCCUCGAUCAUCUUCGGCUCUACUUUGAAGGUCUUGAGCCAUAGUCCGAAGUGAGGAGUAAUACGGAGGAAGGCUUCACACACGAUGAUGAGUGAGGAAAUAUGGAGGAUGGACUCUGGAGCUAAGUCGUGAAAUUCCAGCCCAUAAUAAAACAUGAGCCCCCUCACAAAGGGAUCCGUUGGGAAGCCUAGCCCCCGAAGGAAGUGAGACAUGAACACCACACUCUCACCAGGCUUGGGAGUGGGAAUGACCUGCCCUUGAGCAGGCAGCCUAUGCGAGAUUUCACCGGUCAAGAACCUGGCCUCUCUCAACUUCAGCACGUCCUCCUCCGUGACGGAGGAGGGCAUCCAUCGGCCUUGAAGGUUGGAACCGGACAUUGUCGAAGGUCUGAAGCGCCUUGAAGGAGUCCUGGAUUAGGGGGUGUUCGGGUAGCCGGACUAUCCCUUCAGCCGGACUCCAGGACUAUGAAGAUACAAGAUUGAAGACUUCGUCCCGUGUCCGGAUGGGACUUUCCUUGGCGUGGAAGGCAAGCUUGGUGAUGCGGAUAUUCAAGAUCUCCUACCAUUGUAACCGACUCUGUGUAACCCUAACCCUAUCUAGUGUCUAUAUAAACCGGAGGGUUGUAGUCCGUAGGACAUCAACUCCAUAUACAACAAUCAUACCAUAGGCUAGCUUCUAGGGUUUAGCCUCCUUGAUCUCGUGGUAGAUCUACUCUUGUACUACCCAUAUCGUCAAUAUUAAUCAAGCAGGACGUAGGGUAUUACCUCCAUCGAGAGGGCCCGAACCUGGGUAAAAACAUCGUGUCCCUUGUCUCCAGUUACCAUCCGGCCUUGACGCACAGUUAGGGACCCCCUACCCUAGAUCCGCCGGUUUUGACACCGACAUUGGUGCUUUCAUUGAGAGUUCCUCUGUGUCGUCGCCUUUAGGCCCGAUGGCUCCUUUGAUCAUCAAAAACGAUGCGGUCCAGGGUGAGACUUUUCUCCCCGGAUAGAUCUUCAUCUUCGGCGGCUUCGCACUGCGGGCCAAUUCGCUUGGCCACCUGGAGCAGAUCGAAAGCUAUGCCCCUGGCCAUCAAGUCAGGUUUGGAAGCCUAAAUUACAUGGCAGACAUCCGCGGAGAUUUGAUCUUCGACGGAUUUGAGCCACAACCAAGUGCGCCGCACUGUCUCGCGGGGCAUGAUCUAGCUCUAUCACCGAACAAUAUCCCGGAGGCCGCAAACACACCAGCUCUGACCCUUAAUUCGGAGCCAGUUGUGUCAGUCGAGGAUGAGCGGUUGCAUGUCACCUUGGGGGCUGCAAUCUCAAAGGCAAUCGAGCCGAACACCGGCCCCACACUCCGCGUGACUCACGACUCCGAGGAUCCGGACUCCUCUCCGGACUCCGAACCCCCCGCGCCCCUGCCGAUCGAAUCCGAUUGGGCGCCAAUAAUGGAGUUCACCGCCGCCGACAUCUUUCAGCACUCGCCUUUUGGCGACAUCCUGAAUUCUCUCAAGUCUCUCUCUUUAUCAGGAGAGCCCUGGCCGGAUUACGGUCAGCGAGGAUGGGAUACGGACGAUGAAGAAGUUCAAAGCCCACCCACCACCCACUUUGUAGCCACUGUCGACGAUUUAACCGACAUGCUUGACUUCGGCUCCGAAGACAUCGACGGUAUGGACGACGAUGUAGGAGAUGAACAGGAACCAGCACCUGUAGGGCGCUGGAAGGCCACCUCGUCAUAUGACAUAUAUAUGGUGGAUACUCCAAAAGAUGGAGAUGGCGAUGGAAUAGCGGGGGAUGACACCUCCAAGAAACAGCCAAAGCGCCGGCGUCAGUGGCGCCGCUCUAAAUCCCGCCAAAGCAAAAACGGUGAUUCCGGCACGGGAGAUAAUACUACCCCGGAUAGCGCUAAAUAACACCCACCAUAGCAAGAUUCGGCACAGGAAGAUGGAGAAGCCAGCCCUCAUGAGAGAGCGGCAGACCGAGAGGUCGAGGAUGAUAACUAUAUGCCUCCCUCCGAAGACGAGGCAAGCCUCGAUGACGACGAAUUCGUCGUACCAUCAGACCCCGCCGAACAAGAGCGUUUCAAACAUAGGCUUUUAGCCAUGGCAAGCGGCCUCAAGAAAAAGCAGCAACAGCUUAGAGCUGACCAAGAUUUGCUAGCUGACAGAUGGACUGAGGUCCUUGCAGCCGAAGAGUAUGAACUCGAACGCCCCUCCAAGAGUUACCCAAAGCGCAGGCCGCUACCCCGAUCAGAGGAGGAAGCACCUACAUUACCAGCGCACGACAUGGAAGACCGGCCACCUCGUGGCCGCGACAGAGAGGCCUCUCGGCCCUCAACAGAAGCCAUGCCCCGAUGCCGCUCAACUAAGGCACGGGAAAAUGCGCCAGACCUGCGAGACGUACUGGAGGAUAAGGCAAGACAAACAAGAUCGAUCUACGGAUCGCGCAGGCGCCCUACGGCACGUGACGAUGAUCUUCACUCCGGAUACAACAAAUCCAGCCGGGCCGAACACAACAGACAUAGCUCUUCCGAGCUGCGUCGUGACAUAGCCCAGUACAGAGGCGCCGCACACCCGCUAUGCUUCACGGAUGAAGUAAUGGAUCAUAAAAUCCUAGAGGGUCUCAAACCCGUAAACAUCGAAUCAUACGAUGGCACAACAGAUCCGGCGGUAUGGAUCGAGGAUUAUCUCCUUCACAUCCACAUGGCACGCGGCGAUGAUCUACACGCCAUCAAAUACCUCCCGCUCAAACUUAAAGGACCGGCCCGACAUUGGCUUAACAGCUUGCCAGCAGACUCAAUCGGUUCUUGGGAGGACCUGGAAGCCGCAUUCCUCGACAACUUCCAGGGCACUUACGUGCAACCACCGGAUGCCGAUGACUUAAGCCACAUAAUUCAGCAGCCAGAGGAAUCGGCCAGGCAAUUCUGGACACGGUUCCUAACAAAGAAAAACCAGCUAGUCGACUGUCCGGACGCAGAGGCCCUAGCAGCCUUCAAGCAUAACAUCCGCGACGAGUGGCUUGCCCGACACCUGGGACAGGAAAAGCCGAAAUCUAUGGCAGCCCUCACGACACUCAUGACCCGCUUUUGCGCGGGAGAAGACAGCUGGCUAGCUCGCAGUAACAACUUAUCAAAGAACCCUGGUAAUUCGGAUACCAAGGACAAAAGUGGCAGGACACGUCGAAAUAAGCAAAAAUGCCGCGUUAGCAGCGACAGCAAUGAAGACACGACAGUCAAUGCCGGAUUCAGAGGCUAUAAAUCCGGUCAGCGGAAAAAGCCAUCCAAAAAGAAUACUCAGGGGCCGUCCAGUUUGGACCGAAUACUCGACCGCUUGUGCCAGAUACAUGGCACCCCCGAAAGGCCAGCCAAUCACACUAACAGGGAUUGUUGGGUGUUCAAGUAGGCAGGCAAGUUAAGAGCCAAAAACAAAGACAAGGGGCUGCACAGCGACGACGAGGAGGUUCCCAGGCCGCCGAACAACAAUGGACAGAAGGGCUUUCCCCCACAAGUGCGGACGGUGAACAUGAUAUACGCAACCCACAUUCCCAAGAGGGAGCGGAAGCGUGCGCUAUGGGACGUAUACGCGAUGGAGCCAGUCGCCCCAAAGUUCAACCCAUGGUCCUCCUGCCCGAUCACUUUUGAUCGAAGGGACCAUCCCACUAGCAUCCGUCAUGGCGGCUUCGCCGCAUUGGUUCUCGACCCAAUCAUCAACAGAUUUCAUCUCACAAGAGUCCUCAUGGACGGCAGCAGUAGCCUAAACCCGCUUUACCAGGAUACAGUGCGGAAAAUGGGCAUAGAUCCCUCAAGGAUUAGGCCCACAAAAACGACCUUUAAAGGCGUUAUACCAGGUGUAGAAGCCAACUAUACAGGCUCAGUAACACUUGACGUGGUCUUCGGAUCCCCGGACAAUUUCCGAAGCGAAGAGUUAAUCUUCGAUAUAGUCCCGUUUCGCAGUGGCUAUCACGCCCUGCUCGGACAAACCGCAUUCACAAAGUUCAAUGCGGUGCCGCACUACGCAUAUCUCAAGCUCAAGAUGCCAGGCCCUCGAGGAGUAAUCAUGGUCAAUGGAAACACCGAACGCUCCCUCUGUACGGAGGAGCACAUGGCGGCUCUUGCAGCGGAAGUACAAAGUAGCCUUCUUAGGAAAUUCUCCAGUCCGGCCGUUAAAAAGCCAAACACCGCCAAGCGCACCCGGAGUAACCCACAACAGGACCGCCUGGCACGUUCUGAGCAAGCGUAGCAAUGCGGCCCCAACCCCAGCUCUCGCACAUAGCGAAACCAGUGCCUCGCGUACAUAACUACGCCCUUGAAAUACCAUGGGCACAGGGGAAGGGACACAAUAAGGGCACGCCCAAAAUACGGCUUAAAACGUACUAGGGGCUGCCGGAUUCUUUUUUUAAUUUUUUCUUACUUUCAGGACUCCAUACUUCGGAUGACCUGUUCGACAAUUCGACUGCCGCACAAACGAUGCAAGAUCCAGGGAGGCAGACAAGCCAUGCCGCAUUAUGGAACUCCCAGGUGGUCUCUAUUACGAGCGGUAUACCUGUUUUGAAUACAAUUCCGCGGCCUGCCGCUGGUCAGGACAUGUUAAGUAGUCCAAUAUCUUUUUGCUUAUCGCACUAUUUGUAUCGUUUGACUUUGAUAAAUAGCCUCUCUAUAAACAAUGCAUAGCUUUUUGUCUAUUUUUCGCAUUAUCCUCUUUUCACAUAUAUGUUUAUUAAAUGACAUGAUUGCACCCGUACACCAUGGUACGACAAACACGCCAGGGGCUUCAGUACCCCUCAUUAUGGUGUGAGAAGUCCGUACACUUUCACAAGUGCGGCACCCCGAACUUAUAGCACUAUAUGCAUCGGCUCCGAAUCAUGAUUUGGGUCAAUAGUUGGGUUUGCCCGGCUCCUAUGUUUUGGUGCCUUACGUUCCGCUAUAUCAGCUAAGGUAGCACUAGGAGAACCACUGCGAUUGUGCCCCGGUUCAGCUGGGUUAAGCACCUCAGUGGAGAAAGCUAGAACUGACUGUCAUGAUGAGGCGAGAGACCGGUCGCUGUUCGAGAGGUUUUUCGAGUCCCUAAAGACUUAUGCCGCUUCGAGCGAGGAGCUGGCUUUGUCCGGCCAAGGCGUGGAUAGCGCCCCGAACUCGGUCUUACGAACUAGGGGCUUCGCCGAAAUUUAAAAUUAUAGAGUUCUAUGGCUAAGUGAGAGUGUUCAAGCAUUAUAGUUCGAUUGCCUGGUUCGUUGUGCUGAGCGCCUCCCUCGAAGGACCCAACUAUGGGAAAAAGAGCGCUCAGGUUUAUCCCGAACACCCAAGCACUAGUGGCAUGGGGGCAGAAGCCGACGACUGGCCAUCUCUCAAUUUUUUGAUAAACGGCCGCACAGAAAGUAAUAUUUUAAAUUCAAUAAGCAUUGCUUAGCGCAUAUGAACAAGUUUUCAGCGCACAGGAUAAACACGAGCGAGUUCAUUCAAAAAUCACAUCCUUGGUACAUUCAUCCGCCACAAGGCGGGCACCUGCAAGAACAUCCUUGUAGUAGUUCUCGGGCUUGCGAUGCUCCUUCCCUGGCGGCGGCCCGUCCUUCACAAGCUUCUCACCGUCCAGCUUACCCUAGUGCACCUUUGCACGGGCAAGGGCCCGACGGGCACCUUCGAUGCAGACAGAGCGCUUGAUGACCUCGAGCCUCGGACAGGCCUCCACCAGCCGCCGCACCAGCCCGGAAUAGCUCCCAGGCAGGGUCUCUCCGGGCCACAGCCGAACUACGAAGCCCUUCAUGGCCUAUUCGGCCGCCUUGUGGAGCUCGACCAGCUGUUUCAGCUGGUCGCUCAAAGGCACAGGGUGUCCGGCCUCAGAAUACUGAGACCAGAACACCUUCACCGUCGAGCUGCCCUCUUCAGCUCGGUAGAAUGCGGCGGCGGCGGAUACGCUGCGGGGAAGAUCUGCGAAUGCCCCCGGAGAGCUCCGAAUUCGGGUAAGUAACAAGUAGUUUACUUUUAUAUUUCUGCUUUGCAUAAAGAAUGCCUUACCUGCUGCUAUCUUCCUCAUCUCCUCCAACUCUUGGAGGGCCUUUUGGGCUUCGGCCUUGGCAGACUUGGCAGUCUCAAGGGCCGUCGCGAGCUCGGAUGCUUGCGCCUUUGACUCAAGCUCCAAACUCUCAUGUUUUUUCAUGAGAGCCUGAAGCUCUUGCCGCACUCAAGCCCCAAGUCUGUCUCGCUCGGUGCGCUCCGCGGCCGUUUUCUUUUCGGCUUCAGACAGCGCCUGCUUAAGGGUCGCCACCUCAGUCGUGGCCCCUACAAUAAGCAGUACAAUCCUGUUAUUUUUUUUGCAAUCACGCCUUUUUAUAGGCACUUUUUCUGUAAGGUAUUUCUUACCUUCUCUCUUCUCGAGCCGCCGCUUGGCAAGGCCGAGCUCUUGCUCGGUCCGCUUGAGGUCCUGCUUCAGGACACCCACCUCCACAGUCAGUGCGGCGGUGGAUAGCAGCGAAGCCUGCAUACGCAUAUUGACUCUUUUUUGUUAGACUCCUGCGAUAUUUAAUAGAUCCUCUAUUCGGCUUUUCUUUCCGAACGCCAAACAAAGCAUCAAGGGCUACUAUCUAUGCGGUAAUAUUUUUACAUAUUUUUACUUACCUCGAAGCCUGUUAGAAGGCUAGCGCAAGCUUCAGUCAGUCCGCUCUUGGCGGACUGAACCUUCUGGAUCACCGUACUCAUAAUAGUACGGUGCCCCUCAUCGAUGGAGGCGCCGUCAAGCACCUCCAGCAGAUUGUCCGGCACCCCUGGUUGGACGGAGGCCGCCGGCUCAGAAGGUUGCUUCUCUUGGAAGGAGUUCGCCUACCGCGAUCCGGAACUGUGGAAGAUUCAGGCGCGGUGUCCGGCACAAAGCCGGACUUGGAGCCCUGGGGGGCCUUAUCCCCUUCACUCCUGGAGUCCGGGAGAUUGCCUUGCGGCUCCUCUAGGACCACCUCCUCCUGCCCCGGAGCUUGUCGCGACGCCACUUCGGCGUCGUCUGCAGUGCGGGGGGAGACAGCGGGCGGAACUGAGUUCACGUCCGAUGAGUCCAGCGAGCCGCCCGACGAUUCGUUGAAUUCGGCCCGGGGCGGGCUGCAUAAUUACGUUCGACAUUAGGGAAAGCUGUGCAACAAAGGAACAUCAUGAGUUACUCUGAUAUCCGAACUUACGAUUUCGCCGGACGCUUGGCCCUGUUUGGCCACUCCUCUCCGCCCUCUUCGGCGUCGGGGGAGUAGUCCGGCGGAGGGGUCUUCCUUUUCCUAGACCCCUCGGCCUCCCCCGUUGGGGCGGCCUUCCUCUUCUCUCCUCCCUCCGCUGGGGGGGGGAGAGUUUUCUUUUUCCUCCUCCUCGUUUUCACGGGAAGAGGGCGUCUCGGACUCGUCGGAUGACGAGUCCGACACCACCAUGUUACGGGCACUCUUUCGAGUCCCCGUGGUCUUCUUCUUCUUGGCCUUCUUCUUCGGCACCACAUAAGGCACCGGAACCAACAGCUUCACUAGUAGAGCUGGGGCUGGGUCUUCGGGCAGCGGAGCCAGACAGUUAAUCGGUCCGGAUAUCGCUCGCCAAGCCUGUCAAAGGUAAGGGAGUUUAGAUCCCGCAUAGAGUCAAACUAUGAAAAAAAGCUUAACAUCCUGUAAAAGGUGAAGAUAGCUUACCUUGCUAGCGUGAUGCUGCGAGCUGUAUCCGUGGUCCUCGGAAGUGGAUGCGGGAGCCUCAGCGCCCUUGAAUAGCACCUUCCAGGCAUCUUCAUACGUCGUGUCAAAGAGCCUGCUAAGGGUUUGGUGCUAUGCCGGGUCGAACUCCCACAGAUUAAAAUCCCGUUGUUGGCACGGGAGGAUCCGACGGACGAGCAUAACCUGGAUUACAUUAACAAGCCGGAUUGGCUUGUUCACCAGGGACUGGAUGCAUGUUUGUAAUCCGGUCACCUCUUUUUCGUCACCCCACGACAGGCCCGUCUCUUUCUAGGACAUAAGCCGCGUGGGGGGUCCGGAUCGAAACUCGGGGGCUGCGAUCCAGUUCAGAUCACGUGGCUCGGUGAUGUAAAACCACCCGGAUUGCCACCCCUUUAGGGUCUCCACAAAAGAGCCCUCGAAGCAUAGGACGUUGGCCAUCUUGCCCGCCAUGGCGCCUCUGCACUCCGCCUGGCUGCCGUGCACCACCUUGGGCUUGACGUUGAAGGUCUUGAGCCAGAGGCCGAAAUGAGGGCGGACGCGGAGGAAAGCCUCGCACACGACGAUAAACGCCGAGAUGUUGAGGAUGAAGUUCGGGGCCAGAUCGUGGAAAUCCAAGCCGUAGUAGAACAUGAGCCCGGUGGAGUGGAAAACCCAGUCCGCGGAGGAAUUGGGGAAGAAAUACUACCCUCUCAUGGGGCCUUGGGGUGGGGAGAAGCUGCCCCUUUUCGGGAAGCCGGUGCGCGAUGUCCUUAGACAGGUAUCCGGCCUUCCUUAGCUUCUUGACUUGGCCCUCCGUAGCGGAGGAGACCAUCCACUUGCCUCCCGCUCCGGACAUUGCUGGAGAAGGUUGAGGUGGGAAGUGCGGGCUUGGGCGCUGGAGCUCGAGUGCGCAGGAGAUGGAUAGGCAAAGGAGGAAAAAGGCAUAGGUAAAAAGGUGGAUCCUUAUCCCCUUAUAUGGGCGGAUGCGGUUGUGCGUCCCCACCAGCCUAGUAAAACUCGCUUGCCUCCCAAGCGCCAUGAUAAAUGGCGCGGUUGGGUUACCCACGUCCGUAUUAAUGAGAAUCCCGUAAAGGGGGUACACGAUCUCUGCUUUGACAAGACGUGCCAAGGAAACCGCCUCGCAAAACAUGCUGAGGUGGAAAAGUAAAAACGAUUCAAGUAAAGACUUGGCCGUAGUGUGAUGACGCACUGCGGAAUACGUCAGCAGAUUUGAUUUGUGUUUAUAUUAUUCUCUCUAUGGCAAUAUGUGGAAACUUAUUUUGCAGAGCCGGACACUACUCUUGGUGUUUACAAUCUUCUAUGAAGGACUUGGAGGAGGAACCCGCCUUGCAAUGCCGAAGACAAUCUGCGCGCCGGACUCGUCAUCAUUGAAGCCUGGUUCAGGGGCUACUGAGGGAGUCCUGGAUUAGGGGGUGUUCGGGUAGCCGGACUAUACCUUCAGCCGGACUCCAGGACUAUGAAGAUACAAGAUUGAAGACUUCGUCCCGUGUCCGGAUGGGACUUUCCUUGGUGUGGAAGGCAAGCUUGGCUAUGCGGAUAUUCAAGAUCUCCUACCAUUGUAACCGACUCUGUGUAACCCUAACCCUAUCCGGUGUCUAUAUAAAUCGGAGGGUUGUAGUCCGUAGGACAUCAACUCCAUAUACAACAAUCAUACCAUAGGCUAGCUUCUAGGGUUUAGCCUCCUUGAUCUCGUGGUAGAUCUACUCUUGUACUACCCAUAUCAUCAAUAUUAAUCAAGCAGGAGUAGGGUAUUACCUCCAUCGAGAGGGCCCGAACUUGGGUAAAAACACCGUGUCCCUUGUCUCCUGUUACCAUCCGGCCUUGACGCACAGUUCGGGACCCCCUACCCGAGAUCCACCGGUUUUGACAUUGACACGCCUGAAAUCUGGAGCCUUGGGUGUUGGAACUCGAGGCAAAGGGCGAACUCGUUUGAGACUGAAAGAAAGGAGUAAGGCCUUGGUCUCUUUAUAAGAGGUUGAAUACCAAGGGCCCUUCCCGUGACCGUUUGGGACUCGCCUUUGAUCGAGAAAACAUACCAACGGGUACGGUUGGGUUACCCACGCCCAUAUUGAUGAGAAUCUCGGAAUAAGGGCACACGAUCUCUGCCUUGACAAGACGUGCCAAGGAAACUGCCUCGCUAAACGCGCUGAGGCGGGACAGUAAAACGAUUUGAAUAAAGACUUGGCCGUGGUGUGAUGUCACGCUACAGAAUACGUCAGCAGAUUAGAUUUGUGUAAAUAUUAUUCUCUCCAUGGCAAUAUGUGGAAACUUAUUUUGCAGAGCCGGACACUACCUUUGUGUUCAAAAUCUUCUAUGAAGUACUUGGAGGAGGAACCCGCCUUGCAAUGCCGAAGACAAUCUGCGCGCUGGACUCGUCGUCAUUGAAGCCUGGUUCAGGGGCUACUGAGGGAGUCCUGGAUUAGGGGGUGUCCGGAUAGCCAGACUAUACCUUCGGCCGGACUCCUGGACUAUGAAGAUACAAGAUUGAAGACUUCGUCCCGUGUCUGGAAGGGACUUUCCUUGGCGUGGAAGGAAAGCUUGGCGAUACGGAUAUGUAGAUCUCCUACCAUUGUAACCGACUCUGUGUAACCCUAGCCCUCUCCGGUGUCUAUAUAAAUCGGAGAGUUUUAGUCCGUAGGACAGACAACAAUCAUACCAUAGGCUAGCUUCUAGGGUUUAGCCUCCUUGAUCUCGUGGUAGAUCUACUCUUGUACUACCCAUAUCAUCAAUAUUAAUCAAGCAGGACGUAGGGUUUUACCUCCAUCAAGAGGGCCCGAACCUGGGUAAAACAUCGUGUCCCCUGCCUCCUGUUACCAUCCGCCUUAGACGCAUAGUUUGGGACCCCCUACCCGAGAUCAGCCGGUUUUGACACCGACAGAGGGGCUAAAACUAGUCUUGAGACUAAAUUUUUUUGUCAGGGGUACCCCUACUAAAAUGUGGAUUAGUCCUCUCUCUACUCAUUUAACUCCUCUCCUUUAACACAGGCGAGUUCUGGAUUGGAGGGUUUGGAGGAUAAUAAAUGCUCGUUAACUUGAUUUUAGCCUUUUUAGUAUUUGGAUCCAAGCAUGGGUGAGGCUAGCAUGUUUUAGUCCCACUACUUUUAGUCAUGGGACUAAAACGUAUCCAAGCACCCUCUUAGUUUUAUUUGAGGGGUGGGUUGUGCUGGACACCAUUAUUGUGACUAGCCUUUUUAAUAGUACUAUAUGCAUAAUUUGCCGACGAGCGCUCUCUGUAUGUACCACCUUUUUUUAAUUUUGGGGCUGUUUGGUUCUAGGACUAGCAUUGCCAUACUUUGCCACACAUUUUUGCCAAACUUGCCUAAGGUUAAUUCAUCAAAAUGAGAGCCACAAGUUGGCAAGCCUAAGGGAAUCUUGCCACACUUUUUGUGUGUAUGCCAUGUGGGGCACAAGUGUGGCUUGCCUAAGGUGUGGCUUGAACCAAACACUCACCUAAGUUGGUCAAACUUGCCUAACCUUAGGUGUGGCAAUCUUUGGCAAAGUUAGUCACAAACCAAACAGCCUUUUCAAGUUUUGCUCCAUGGCGCAAUCCAUCGAUACUACUGCUAUACAAAAGUAUACAUUUUUUUAAAAGGCUAGAGGGCGGGGAAGUCUAGCUUGGUCGGUUUCAUGAGAGGCGAGGGCCUUUGUGAUUUCAUGGCUCAUUACUGCUGGAAGGUGGGGCCUUGUUAUUUGACUGCUCGUAUAAAUGCGCCAACGACCUGAUCGAGGAGGAGCAAAGAACCAUGCGGUAUACUCAAGUUUUCCACUGGAGUAGUACUGCGACGGAGGAGCACGAAACACAGCAGCCCAGUGCCAUAUGGCGAUAAAAAAUGAUCUAAUUUGCUAGUCAUCUCAUUGUUAGCAUUGUUCUAUUCAUUCCCUAAAAAAACAUUGUUCUAUUCAUGCCUCGCAGAGAACGUGACACGUGCGGCGAAACACCCGAAGCAAAAGAUGAAACACAGGAGCAAAAGAAGAAGGAAGAUUAUCACCCCAAAUGAUCUAAUUCGCCGUGGAGUCGUAACUGCUUCUUCAUCGCCUCCACGACCUCCAUCUCCUUGCGCGUCUCCUCCGCCAUCUUCAUCAUUGUGUCCAUGACGCGAAAUUUCUCGACGUGAGCCUUCAUCAUCUGUUCCACGGCCAUAUUACGUACCUUGACAGCAGCCGGGUGCUCGAUGCGGAGCUUCGCCAACUCUUCCUUCUGUUCCAUGGCGAGGGCCUGCAGCAUCUUCAUCGAGGUACUACUAUUCUCAUGCAGCUUCUUCCAGCCGGUGUUCUUCUCCUUCAACAGGUCGAUCUCGUGGCAGAGCUUCGCAUUGUCCUCCCGAAGUCGCAGGAUUUCGCCGAUCGCCUUCUUCUCCGAGGCAAUGCUCUUCUUCAGCAGCAUCACCAAGCCGGUGGUCAACUCCCCCUGCUGAUUGAGCUCAGCGGGCAUGUCGUCGAGGCUCUCCUUCAGCAACUCCAUCAAGCCUUGGAUGAACUCCUUCUACUUAUUGAGCUGAUCGGGCAUGCCGUCGAGGGAUAACGACUCCAGCUCCGCCGGCUCGGCAUGUUCGCCUCCGUGGCUAGGGUACUCCUGGGAGCCAUCGCCUACCCGUGAGAGAUCUUUCGAGGUCUCUGCAUGGCAGCGAGCCCUCUCUUUUUUUCCGCAGCCUUGGUUGCCGCUCCCUUGUUACGAGUAGUUCUCGACCUAGAGCUCUGCUCACCGGCCAUGGCAACGAAGGACGAAGAAGAAGCACUUAUGAGGAGGAAAGGUAGAGUGCUUUUCGGUUAGGUAGUUCCCCUUUUUAUAACCUAAGUACUAGCACUAGUACUAAUACUUGCAUAGUGGGAACACGUUCAGGUUUGGUACGUACUACUAGUAGGUGUGAGUAGGCUUUCGAAUGUGAUGGGAACAAGGUAAAGAUUAAUUGAUGGUUUUGGUUUCGAGGCCCGAAACGGCUCCCAAUGAGUUUAGUGGAACAUAAAUUUCAAGUACUACUACACUGCUCAAAUGUGUAAAUAUUAUGUUACUGUCAAAAAUUGGCACAAAAUAUGAAGGAGACCAAUGGAAGUACUACUAGCAACCCACGAUUUAACUACUCGCAGUGGAGUAAUAAUGUCUUUCUUCGCCCUCAUGCCCACUCAAUUUGCAUGUGCUGUAUUAAUUGACCAUCAAUGAAGUGAACGACUUUACACGCGUCAAAUUAUCACAUGGGGUGGAUCUUGGUACAAAAUUGCGUCCGCCCGUGUACCCGCGUGUGCAUGCGAGGAAUGAGUGCGUGCAUGGCGUGCGUGCACAUAUUCGCUUCAUGCAUGUACCGCCAGUAUGGCUCAGGGAGGACGAGUACAUUCUUCUGGAACCAGCAGCACGUCACUGUGAUCAAUCCACGCAAGGAGGUUGCAACAACGCCUACACAUGUGCCACGUGGCUUCAUGAACUGUAAGAGAGACACUGUGUUGCGUGCCAUUGGUAUUCUAAUUUACGUGUUUUGCACAUACUCGAAGUACUAGUAAGGUAUACGUGCAUUGCACGCAUCAGAUUUUGCAACCAAAUUAUGAAUAAAUACCACACUAUAGCAUGUAAGCUCUGAGUCAUAUAUGCCUGAUGUAGCCCUUCAUUUAAUUCUUAUAGUUCAUCUCAUUCAAAAUCAAUUAGUUUUUAUAAAAAAGCUAAGAACGCGGGAAUAGGAAAAACAUGGGAUUAUAGUGGAAUGUCGUCUUGAAUCCUACAUGAUUGUACGAGUGUUUGAUUGUGCAUAGAAAAAACACAGAAUUCUUUCAAAGAGGUUUGAGUGGAUGGGAUGUUUCCUAUGAAAUCUAGUGCAAAUGAAUCAUAUGGAAAAAUUCCUAUGGUUUACAAUCCUACGAAUCAAAUAACCAAGAUAGGAAAAAUUCCUAAUGAUUAGAAUCCUCCAAAAUUCCUUUGAGAAUCCUUUGAAUCAAAGAAGCCCUUAAUCUAUUUUAUGAUUCAUGGAAUUGUGCGUUGUAAAGCAUAAAGUAAAAACAAAUAAUGCCAAUUCAACUAGAAAAAAAUUUGGGCAGUUAUGAUAUGGAAGAUUCUAGAACAAAAGAGAACCACUGUUGUUUUGAGGUUUGUGCAUUAUGCUUAAGUUCAACCAUGGAGUAUGCUAGAUUGUACAUGUGGCAAAAUCCGGUGGGGGGCUAGAAGAUGGUGCGAGGGGCCGAGUGGAGGGAGACUAUGAAGGAAUGCACAAGUGUGAGAUCGAUAUUUAGAGAGAGAGGGUGAAUACGUGCGCUGAUGCGCGCAGUGGCGGAGCCAUGAAAAAGAAAUGAGCUAGGGGGCCAAGCAUUGCUAAUCUUUUACGAGGAGGGUCAAUUCAUGAACUUAAACCAUUUUUAGCAGCAAUUGUCUAAUGAUCACAUUCAUAUUAGCCUUGAUAUAUAGUGAUGUUAGGGGGGAGGGGGGCAGGGCCCUUACUGCCCCUUGUCUUCGCCAUUGUGCACGCGUCUGAGAGAUGAAGCGGAAGGCAUGGAUGAUGAGAGGGGGGCGUUGGAUACAUAAUGAAUGUGGGUUUAUUAGCUAUAUAUGUUAAUCCUAUAUAGAGAGGUAUAGAUUGAUCGAUGUGGACGUGGGAAAGAGGGUGAGACCUCACUGGAUAUAUCGAUUGAUCGGUUUGUGUGGAAAACUAUGAAAUACCUAGCUAUAUACACACAUACAUAGAGGAACAUCGAUCAUUGCGCAUGCACGCGUGAGAGAUAAAGAAUGCCCGAUAUGAUGGAGAGGGGGAUGUGUGUUGGUGUGUGCCUUCAUGGGAGACCGACCUGAAGAAAAAGAUUGCAUGCGUGCGAUGGAUAAUGCCGACUGGUAGUGUGUGUGCAUGCAUGCACGAGAGAAGGUUAGUGGUACAAUUAUAAAGAGAAGACUACUGUGUGGGUGUAAAAGAAUAGCUGAAUAGGUGAGGUCACAAUCAAUGUAAAGUUGAAUUCAAAUAUUUGAAUAAGAGAUCCUGAUGUUUGAAACCCAUGCAUGCAUGAAUAUAACGGAGAUCUGCGCGGUGUGGUUUGGAAACGAGCAUGUUGUAAUGUAUACACAUUGAACAAGGUCAGACUGAUUUGAAUUUGAGAUACCGAUGGCAGGCAUCAUUUGGCCACAUCGCAUCCGUGCAUGGACACACUAUUCUAAUUGGAGAUGAUGGGCGGCUUUUUCAUCACAUAUCUAUAUAUAUACCCCUAUACAUAUUAUAUAUUUUUAUAUUGUGUGCGGGUAACUUUAACUUUGAAAGAUGGUCGUUGGAUGAGGCGAAUCCGAUGGUCCAAAGAUGGCAAAUUUGAGCACUAUUGGCCGUUGGAUAUCAUCUAGAUUCCACCAGGUUUCGCCACAUGUAUAAUCUAGAAGACUCCAUGGUUGAACUUAAGCAUAAUGCACAAACAUCAAAACACAAACACUUCUUAUUUGUUCUAGAAUCUUCCAUAUCAGAAUUGCCCAAAUGUUUUUCUACAUGAUUUUCCAUUAUUUGUUUUUACUUUAUGUCUUACGACGCACAAUUCCAUGAAUCUUAAAAUAGAUUAGCUUUCUUAUAAAAACUAGAUGAUUUUGAAUGAAAUGAACUAUAAGAAUUAAACGAACAUCUACAUCAUGCAUAUAUGACUCAAAUCUUGCAUGCUAUAAUGUGGUAUUUAUUCAUAAUUUGGUUGCCAAAUCUCAUGCGUGCAAUGCACGUGUACCUUACUCUAGUCUAAAUGGUGUUUGUGUGUGUGUUGUGCGUGUUGAGGUGCAAAUUGUCUUUUUUUGGGUACACGUUAAGCUUGUUCUUCCGAAAUUUCAAGCCGCGCCUUGUUAUGCCGAAAAUUCAAGCUAGCGUCUCUGUCUAUCGUGCUGGGAAACUCCUGCCUCUUCAGCCCGCGCCUUGUUAGCCCGAAAUAUUUAAGAUAUAUCUUUGUCUUGUUGUGCUCCGACAACUCCCUCCAUCUCAACCCGCGCCUUGCUAUUCCGAAAUUACAACGUGCGUGAAAACUCCCACCUCCUGUGAAAUCCCGACACGUGAAAUGCCCGUGGUACCCCUGAACCAAAAGAACCGCCUCAAAUUGGUGGGGGUAAUUUCGUAACUUACCCCACAUUUCGGACAAGCGCGUCUCUAAGCCAUGGUUCCCCACUGCCAUCCCAUCCGCCCACCCAUUCGUACACCGAGGCUGCGAAAACCCGCGACGAAACCCCACACCCUGCUCCGUCCGCCACCCAGUCGGAGCCUCUUCCCUGACGACGUUGUCCACAGCAACACCUCGACGUCCCUCAUCCACCGUACUGGAUGAGGAUCCGUCGUCGAUCUCAUCGUCCCGCCGGUUCAGCCACACCGUCCUCCACCUCCAAGGAGCUGCCCCAAUGUUCCCCUCGUCUUUCGCGCCACCUCCAUUCCCACACCGCCAUCUUCACCUGCACCACCAGAAGAGCAUCAUCAUCACCAUUUCCUCGGAUGAAGCUGCGGCGUAAUCGGCGCCACCAAAGAGGUUGUACACUAAUUGCCACAUUUUCUUCUUGAUUCGAUCUCACGGUGCUGCCGGCGCUCGGUCCCGAGCCGACACAGCGCAGCUCCAUCCAUGGCGGCAUUGCCGGCCACUUCCUCCACGACGUCGCUCCCUCGGCGGCGACGUCCACAUCAGUAGGACUUGCUGCUGCUUUAGCUCUCGCUCGCCCUGCUGCUCUGCUCUUGCUCUCGGUCCCCUGCCUGGUCUGCUCUUGCUAUUGCUCUUGCUUGCGCUGCUGCUCUCGCUCUUGCUCUUGCUUGCGAUGCUGCUCCGAUUUAGCUACACUUCACUCUGAUGCCGCCGGGGUGAAGGAAGAACCAGCCACAAUGGGGAGGGGGGCUCGCCGGAGAGGCACCCCACUAUCUAUAUUAGGGUUCAGGAUGGGGCCGGUGGUCGCCGGCGGUGGCGGGGCAUUGGCGGGGCGGUGGCGUGGGGAUUGCUAGAGAAAAAGCUCGGCACGGGGGGGCCUAGAGGGAUGGCCGGGGCGGCAGCGGACCGGCGGUGGGGAGUGUUUUCAGGGCGGGCGGGGUGGCGCACCGCUGGCCGCGGGUGGCGAGGGGCUGCUGUUUGGCCGGCUCAGGGGGUCGAGGUUGAAGAUGAACCGCAUGCCCUUGAUUUCGUAUCCAAUGGCUACAAAAUCGACUGACCAGAGAUGAAAAAGUCAGUCGACCGACGUGUAGCCUCACCUUGCUAGUGCGUUCAAUUUCGACAGCAAAAUUCAGUUUUGACAGCAAAAUUCUGUUUCGAUAGUUAAGUUCAGUUUCGACAGUUAAGUUCAGUUUCGACAGUUAAGUUCAGAGAUGAGCGGCUGAUGUAUUUUACAUCUAGCACUUUGUGUUUAUGUAUUUUACAUCAUGUAUUGGAGAUGCUAUUAGAAUUCCACUUAGGUUAACGUUGUUCGUUGUCUCUCUUGUCCUGCUUCAGCCUCGACGUCGUACAACUCACCGGAGCUGCUCCAACGAUGAAACCCUCCAUCACAGUGAAGCAGUACCUCGGGCUCCAUCUCCAGACGCCUAAGAUCUUCUUCCCCUCCUCCGACAGCCAAGUCAGCCGGAGCAUCCUCACCGGCCAACCCAAUCACGCUGAGAUCGACAUGGCUUCGCCAAAGAGGUUGUACACUUGUUGCAUCUCUUUUUUACUCUACAUGUUAUAUAUAUUGUCCACUGAGCACUCGUAGUAAUGGGAAAUACGAUUAUUUUAUCCUACUAUAUGACAAGCAGUGAGGUACCAGGCAACUUAGCUAUCCGUGAUGGACUCUCUUGAACGCCAUCAUUAUUUAUCUCUGCGCGUUUGAGCUGUGCAUUUGUCGAUGGGCCUGGGAGUUGAGCUAGUAUGGCAGUGGCCUGGGUCCAAAGUAAUAGAAGUAGCACAAAAACAUUUUUUUAGUGUAGGAUUUUCCUUGCUCAAGCCCGCCGACUAGAAUCGCCAGUGCUUGAAAGGAAAAGUGAAUGAAAAACAUCGGAAUUGGAAAGUUUCCUAUGGUACUACUUCUCAUGAAUUUGGUGCAAAGGAAUGGAGCAAAGGAAAACUGUAGGAUUUGUUCCUUUAGUGUCUCCUUGAAAGAAAAACCGUAGGAAUUCUAAUUUCCACUUCUCCUCCUUUUCAUAUUACUAUUCAUCAAGCACAAGACUAAGAGAUAGUAGCAUAAUAGCAUUAUAACCGUACAUUUUCUUGUGGUUUGACUUAAUCUCACCAUGCUUUUUUGCAUCCUGUGAUCUUCCAAUUGUUGUGAAUCAAACACCCAGAUUGGCAGAAAUCUUGUGUUUUUAAAUUCUCUAUUUUGCACGUGCAUUCCUCUCAAUUACUUCUGUUAUAUAUAUGUGUCAAAGAAAACCUUGUGUGGUUUGUCCUGCUCCUGCGGCGCCGUGUUCCACCCCAGCUCAGCUGCUCCAACGACGAAAGGGUUCACCACAACAGGGAUCCGCUCUGCAGAAUGUCUUUCACUGCCUUAGAUCUUCUUCCCCGCCGUCGGCAGCCACGACAACUGCAUUACCAUCAUCAACUAAGCAGAUGACCUUGAGGACUACAUGGGUCCGCAAGAGAGGUCGCACUCUUCCGUGUCUGCUUACGUUAUGCGUCCCUUAAUAUGAUGACAUGCUACAUUAUCAUCGUGUUCACCUAUUAGACUCCAAGUCAGGUCCAAACUAAUGCUGAAACUUGAGUGUUUAAAUGGUUGUGUGGUAUAUAUUGGGGCAGCAAUCAGUACUAUCUGUCUACUAUCUGGUUAAUCUCCGGUGUCUACCAUGAGUUUCAUGUUGGGUGCAAACAAGCAUUAAAGGAGCCAUUAUCUAUAUUUUUUAACUAAAGCUAUUAUCUUCCUGCUAUCAUUGGUUUUGGGUCUAUCCACAGUUUGCUACCAUCACUCUAGAUUUGUGCAUGCACUCCUUACAUAAUCUCACUAUGUUUUAUUCCUAUGCAUGCCAGUUAUUGUACACAAUGGAACUGAUUAUGUAGAGCAAAAGAGACGAGCCUUGCGUGGCAAUAAAAUUUCAUGCAGACGUCGUUCCAUGGUGGGCGCAAAGGCAGCCCCCCUCCACCCAUUUCGGAUCGUAAUCAAGAGGAAUAUAACUGUUAUGAGGGGGAUUCAGAAGGAGAAGACCACUCCUAUUUACCCCAUGAGGUCUUCGCUCUAACUUGGCAUGCUGAUGUUGGUAAUAUCAUGCAUAUGGUGCCUUGCAUUGCUUAUUGUAUACAUUAAAGAUGUCAUCUGCUUAGUUUAGACAUGCUUUGUGUCAAUGCCAUCUGUUUAGUUUCUUUAUCGUAUAUGUGAAUCAUGCAAUGCCAUCUUGUCUAGCCAGGCAUCAUAUAUGUGAAUUUUGCAAUGCCACCCUGGUUAGCCAGUCAUCUUAUAUGUGAAUUAUAUCAUGCCAUCAUUUUUAUUACGUGUUAAAUUUGUCAACAAUUUUAGUACAUUCAAUUACUCUUCCCGUGCAUCAGCCAUUUGGCAUGGUCAUGGAAAAAUCUGGAGUGGAAACAAGGUCUUUAGAGUAGACAAUGCUAUCUGACGAAGCGCAUGUCUUGCUGGUUACCGAUAGCUCCUCAGAGGAGGAUUCAGAGACAGAUGACCAGUCAUAUUUCCCCCCCGAGGUGCAUGCCCUAACUUGGCAGGGUUAUGUUGCUCAUAUCGUGUGUAUGGUAUCUUGCAUUGCUAUGUCAUUUGCUUACUUUAGACAUGCUUUGUGUGAAUGCCACCUGUUUAGUGUCUAAUUACCAUAUAUGUGAAUUAUGCAAUGCCAUCUUGUUGCAAGACAUUAUAUAUGUGAAUUAUGCAAUGUUAUCUUGUUGCAAGGCAUUAUGUAUGUGAAUUAUGCAAUGCCAUGCUGUUUAGGCAAGCGUCAUAUAUGUGAAUUAUAUCAUGCCAUCCUUUUUUUGUUUUUCUCAUUGCUUUUGUCGACAAUGUCUGUAUAUGCAACUGCUCUUCCUGUGCAUCAGCCAUUUGAAUUGGUGAUGGAGAAAUCUGGAGUGAAAACAAGGUCUUCAGAGCAGACAAUGCUACCUGCUGAAGCAGAUAUCUUGCUGGUUACAGAUAGCUCUUCAGAGGAGGAUUCAGAGGCAGAUGACCAGUCCUAUUAUCCCCCUGAGGUGUAUGCUCAAACUUGGCAGGGUUAUAUUACUCAUAUAAUGCAUAUGUUGUAUUGCAAUGCUUAGUUUUUACAUCAUAUACACAAUAUUGAAUGCCAUCUCCUUAGUUGACACAUCAUAUAUGCGAUUGCCCUCUGCUCACUUCCUUAGUAUAUAAAUCAUAUAUUUGAAUUAUGUCAUGCCAUGAUGUUUACAUAGACAGCAUGUAUCUGAAUUAUGGCAUGCCAACCCAUUUUCUAAAGACAUAAUAUAGUUAUAUCAUCUCAUCCUGUUUACAUAGUCAUCAUAUUUAAAUUAUGUCAUUCUAUCCAUGAAUUAUAUCAUGCCAUCAUGUUUCCAUCGAUGACAUGUUUGUGAUUUUAUGGCAUGCCAAGCACUUUAAUAGACACAUCGUAUAGUUAUAUCAUGUCAUCCUGUUUACAUAGUCAUCAUAUUUUGAAGUAUGUCAUUCUAUCCUGUUUAGUUAGCCAUCAUACAUGUGAAAUUGUGUCAUGCUAUCCUGUUUAAUUAGCCAUCAUAUAUGUCAAUUUAUGUCCUGCUAUUCUGUUUGCUUAGACAACAUAAAUGUGAAUUAUUUCAUGCCCUGUUUUCUUCCUUACUAUCCAUUGCACCUGUCUAUCUUACAAUGUAUGUACAUUCAAUUACUUUUCUUGUUUAUCAGCCAUUUCAAUUGGAGGGAGUGAUGGUAGUAUUUGUGGGAGUAAAAACACGGUCUUCAGAAAAGAUCGUGCUACCUGUUGAUGCAGAUAGAACCACCGUUGUAUUUGCCCAAGAACCAGCCCCACCACACAUAACCCAUAGUCAUGCAGAUUGUACCCCUACCCAGUUGGACAGAGAACCAGCUACACCCCUUGUAACCCCAACCCCAGCAGAUAGACA
rnacentral:lncRNA from 1 species